rnacentral:lncRNA from 1 species
UUUUUAUAAGCAAGUGAAAAAUAGAAUAGCUUACUCUUUUCUUUUCUUUUUUUGAGAGAGAUAGGUAGUACGUUAGCCGUUUCGUUUAUUUCAUUUUGAAAUAAAUUUAGGACGAGUUUGGAUCGCUUCUUUUUUACCCUGGAAUCGGAAUCGGAAUGGGUGAAUCCGUUUGUAGGUGUUUGGUACGCAGAAGUUCCGUUCCGACUCCGAUUCCCGAGUGGAAUGAAAAUUUUCUAAUCACCUUUUUUUUCAAUCCGGCCCAGGAUAACAGAUUGAAAGUUGAAUCCGGAUGGAAUGGAUAUUUAUUCGGAUUAAAUUUAUUUUUUUAUUUUUUUAAUUAAAAUAUGAUUUAAAAUUUAAAAAUUAAAUAUAUAAUUUUAAAUUUUAAUUUGAACCAGCAUAUAGCAUAGCUAUUUUUAUAAGCAAGUGAAAAAUAGAAUAGCUUACUUUUUUUUCUUUUUUUUGAGAGAGAUAGGUGGUACACUAGCCGCUUCGUUUAUUUCAUUUAGAAAUAAAUUUAGAAUGUGUUUGGUUCGCUUCUUUUUUACCCUGAAAUUGGAAUCGAAAUGAGUAAAUCCGUUUGUAGGUGUUUGGUACGCGGAAGUCCCGUUCUGACUCUAAUUCCCGAGUGGAAUGGAAAUUUUCUAAUAACCUUUUUUUUCAAUCCGGCCUAGGAGGCCAGAUUGAAAAUUGAAUUCGGACGGAAUGAAUAUUUAUUCGGAUUAAAUUUAUUUUUUUAAUUUUUUUAAUUAAAAUAUGAGUUAAAAUUUAAAAAUUAAAUAUAUAAUUUUAAAUUUUAAUUUGAACUUAAAUUAAAAAUUAAAAUUUAAUCAAGUAUUUCGAAUCUAACUUGUGAAUUUGAAUUUAAAUUAAAUUUUAAUUUAUAUAAAGUUUUAUUCAAAUUUUAUUUCAAACUUAAAUUAAAUUUAUGGAUUCAAAUUAAAAUUUUAAUUUUAAUUUUAAGUUUGAAUUUGAAUAAAUUAAAAUUUAGUUUCAUAUUUUAAAUUAUCCACUCAACUUCAAAGUUUAAUUUUUUUUAAAAAAAAAUUUAUUUAAAAUUUUGACAUUAUUUCAAAAUUUUGAUGUACAUUUUUAAUAUUUAAUUUUUAAUUUGUAUUUAAAUUAAUAUAUUAUAAAGAUAAUGUUAAUAUAUUAAUUUGAUUACGCUUUUUAUAUCCACCUGAACCAAACACCGAUAAUGGGAAUAAUUUAUUCUGAUUCCGAUUCAGGUGAUGAACCAAACAAAAUUAGGUAAUGAGUCAUUCUAAUUCCGAUUUCAGCUUAUUUUGAUUCCGAUUCCGAUUUCGACUCCGACUUCAAACCAAACACGCCCUUAGUUAGAAAUGUGAAUCAACUAGUAUUCGAACUUGGGUCUCGGAUACCAGCCACCAAGCCCUUUGCCACUUGCUAUAGAAACAGUCGGUGAAAAAUAGAAUAGCUACAGUUCUAAAGACAUCGACUUCCUAUCAAUCAAAUAAAUAAUAAUAGCAGAAGUGUCAUCUCUAUUUUGAAAAUCAGUUACGGACAAACAAACAGACGCAUAGCAUCAGACGGUCCUUAUCGUCAAACUGGGCCCAAAAACCUCACGCGUCGUUUAAAAAAAAAUAAAAAUACAAAAUGAUGGUCCACUUGAAAAUGGAAUGUGGAUGUUGAUGGGCCCAGCCCAAUUUUAGGCCGCUCCAAAUUUCUGGAUAUCUCACAUCUCAAGGGGCCCAAGCCCAUUAAGUAAAGUGGGGCUCAAGCCCACAAAAUAAUUAUCCUCCAUUUGGGCUCCGUAUCUCGGCCCAAAUCGCACCACGUUGCUCAAUUACGAUCGUGCACCGUCCACGUCCCUUGCCCUAAAUCCAACGGUCACUUUUUCUCUACUAAAUUCUCUUAAUCCAUCUCCUCGCCACCGUAUACACGGCCUCCGAUCUAGGGCUUCUUUAUAAAAGCCUCUCUAGGGUUUCGCUCUCUCCUUCUCCUCCAUAAUUUUGUCUCGAUUUAUCCCUCUUUGGUUUUGCGAUUUUGAUUUGAUUUUUCUUAUCCUCUCCUCAAUUUCGAUUCAUGGGAGUUGGAUUACGAUCCGAGCGAACCAUCGCUUCUUAAUUUCGAUGGUUUGUGGCCAUAAAUCGUUUGCUCCCGAGAUCAAUUCGUGGCGCUUAAAGCCCUAAUCUACAUUCUAUAAAAAAUGGAUUUUGGGUUACGCUCGCCUCUAAAUUCCCAAUUGUUUGUCUGAUUUAAUUGGUUUUUUAUUUCGUUGUCUUUUUUUUGUUAAAUUUGUGAUUUUUGGCUGUGAUGACUAAUCUCAUUUCUCGAUUCUGAUCUAUGAACUGCUAAGUUUAGGACCAAAUUUUUGAUGACUUUAUUUGUGCGUGUCUGAGCCGCAUUUUUAUUUAAUAAAACUCUCAUUUUUAUGGAAUUGGAGUAGCGUUAUUUGUACACUUUUUUUAUUUAAUUACUGGUGCUGUGAUUGUAAAGAACAUUCCUCGUACUGAAUGCUGUGGAAAAUGGCAUGAUAGACUCUUUCUACACCCAUAGAAUAUGAGCACCAUUUACUUAAUUUCUUGUAGAUUAUUUUGUAAAAUUUUGAACUUUUUAGUUUUCUACAUAAUCAUAUUUUUGGUGUUUGGUUCUUAUUUUCAGAAUUAUCCAAGUAAAUGUAUGUUGUGAUUUGUUUUAUAAUUGAUGAGUUUGUGCUAGUGUUAUUUAUUUGAUUCAUCCGAUCACAAGCAACAUUUAUAGGAGAAGAGUUAUUAAACAAUUUAAAUCAAAUGAAUUGAAUGGCUACGUAUCAAUACCACUUAUCUGUUAGAUUAGAUUUAUUGCAUAAUUUUUAUCUUUCCUUUUUAAUUCUGGUGCUGUGAUUAUAAAGAACAUUCCUCGUACUGAAUGCUGUCAAAAUCAGCAUGAUAGACUCCUUCUACACCCAUAGAAUAUGAGCACCAGAGCCUUAACUCACCGUAGAAUCAUAACUUCUAUCUAAUUUUAUUUGUACCAUCUUAGCCAAUCUUACCACAGUCGGUAUCUUCAUUGUAUUUGCGGAUUUUCUAGUUGCAAUUUCGUGUCGCUGCUGUGUGCUAUCUCUGACAUUUUGUGUGUUCCCUUUGCAUAGUGAGGGGCUUGCCGAGAACGCAGCCGAAGCAAUGUUGUGUCUUGUUAGUUAUAUCUGGAAAGAAAGGAACAUGUUUAGUUGAUGCGUUUAAGUAUUCAUGUAGUUUGCUUUCGCGCUGUUGAUGAAUAUCUUGCAAAAGAGUAUCAAUCAGUUCGGCGAUACAAAUAUGAUAUGAAGAGGGCAUAUGCUGUCGAGAGAGCGCUGUGAAUCUACACAAACUCAUCCAUGAGCUAUGUUGGAGCUGCACUUAUCUCAAUAGUGUAAGAACUUUUACUGAUGCUCGGAAGUGGUUGUUCAUCUUCUGAUCUGUGUGGUUGUUUGCAUGUUCACAACCAGAAACGACCAGAUUUGAAGGAAAAUGUGCUGCGAACUUUUCACUUUUUAUGCUGCUCGCGUAAUCUUUAGCACCUCUGCCUCUUACUGUCAGUACGGGACCUUCCGGAAUCUGAUUGGCAUGAACAGACAAGCCAAGUUGGAAGAUCACAGAUUGUUCAGCAACGAGAGAUGUUUGUAGUUUGAUCGAGAUUACGAUAGAAAGAAACUAAAGUUUACUUUGUCUUUUGAAAAGCUUCUGAAGUCCUUUACCGUACAUUGAUUCUAUUGAUUCGGAUUGUAACACCUUAUUGUAUCACAAUUGUUGUUUCCAAUAAAGAUUUAACGUACAGUAACAAUUGCAUGACUCUUUGAAACCCUGUGAAUUAGGAUUUAUCACUACUCAGCUUAAUUUAAUGACUCUCUUUGUUUGUUGUGAUUUGUAGGUAAUUUAAUCUGCAUACCUAAUGUUAAAGUAAAAUUGGACUAUAUCAUAGCGCGUUCCUAAUGUUUCCCAAUAUUUUCCAUGUCGCAUCAAGGUGCUUCUCACAAUGAUUGCUCUGCCACUUACAUAGUGGUGGUUUUUAUAUAGCAAUUGUAUCAAAUUAUUUAUAUCUCAAAUUAAUCUAAAAUUAUAUACAAUAAUUUUUUUUUAAAGAAAAAAAUUAUGACGGAAUGGAUAAAUUCUAAAGACAUAAUGAACAUAGUGACAUGAUGCCGCUUCUACAUUCUAGACUUUUUUUCGCCGACACCAUGCAUGCCGGUUUGUGGUUGGCAUGUGUUUGAUUUGUGUGACACGCCGACAUACUUCAGUGUAGUCUUUCUUUUGCAUGUUCACAUAACUGGUGCUUGGCAUGUGUUUAAUUUGCAUGACGUUUCAUUAUGUUUCAAUAUAAACUUUUUUCGACAUAAUUGGACUACAAGUCGUGUCAGAUCAUACUGAUAUGCGGUUGACACGUAUUUGAUUUGCAUGGCAUGCCAACAUACUUCAGUAUAAACUUUCUUUUGCAUGUUUGAUUUACGUAACGCUGCGGCAUUUGUUAAUUUAAGUUUUUUUUUUUUUACAUGUCAGCACAAUUGGCCUACAAGUUGUAUCAGAUCAUAUUAAUUUGUUGUUUGACAUAUGUUUAGUUUGUAUGACAUGCUGAUAUAUUUUUAUUAUAAAAAAGUUUUAUUUUAGAUAUAUUCACACGAUUUGUGGUUGGCACGUGUUUGAUUAGCAUGACACUCAGCACGAUUGGUCUGCAGGUCGUGUCAGAUUAUGUUGAUUUGCAUGAAAACCUUCGGACAGAUGUUGGACUCGCGCCAGAUCAGUCCUGUUCGGUAAAAUUGCAACACAAAAUGGCCGCACCCAAACGGGCCAAACCCAAAGUUGGCCUAGUGGGCUGCUGUUACGUUUUUUGAGGGAAAAUGCAGGGCAUUUUUAUUCUUUCCUGAGGAUUUUUUGUUUUGGACUUGGUUAAUUUUAUUUUAAUUAUUUUUUAAUAAGGUUUGUUUGAACUUUUAAUUUUUUUUGAAACUUUGUUUUAGGUGUAAGAGAACUGUACUACUAACUAAUAGUUUUCUUUUUUUUUUAACAAAAAGAAAAAAAAAAGAGAGGAAAAUCUGAUGAGUAUCUCAAUCCGCGGAUCUAGUUAUCCUAAUUCUAAUCUAAAAACACAUGAAAUCAACGGCCCGAUCGCGAUUAGGACUCUGCUUAUGACUUAUAUAAACCGUCGAUUGCCCUCUUAUUCCCCAAUAUUAAAACCCUUGUACUAUCUCGCAGCUCUUCUCCCGCCCCCGAUUCGUCGUUACGGUUUCCUUAAACCCUAGCGCUCCUCUUGUUCCUGCUCUAGGGUUUGGAUUGCCCCCUAAAAUCUCCGACUCGGUUGCUGCGGGGAAGAGAUGGAGGCCUCCUCAUCGUCGUCGGAGCCGGGGAAGCUCUUCGUGGGCGGGAUCUCGUCGGAGACGGAGGAGACGCAUCUCCGGGAGUACUUCGAGAAGUACGGGGCGGUGAAGGAGGCGGUGGUGGUGAAGGAGAGGGGGACGGGGAAGGUGAGGGGGUUCGCGUUCGUCGAGUUCUCCGACGCGGCGGCGGCGGAGAGGGUUCUGGAGGAGAAGGAGAGGACGAAGACGAAGCACGUGAUUUGUGGGAAAGAGGUUCGUGCCGUUGCUUUUUUUGAUCAUAUCUCCCAUGAUUGGAGCCUCGGGCUCCCCGAAAGUGUUGUUUUUUUUUACGAUUCUUGGAUAUUUUUCUUCAUUUUUUUUUUUUUUUUUAACGUUGUUGGAAUAAUUCAUGCUUAUAAUGUGAUUAUCCUAACAUGCAUGAUUGCCUUAUAUCUAUUAAUGUUAAUUUUUCCGAUUUUGUCCACUGUUAUGAAUUUAAUUUUGAUUCAUGAUUCACCUGUCGAAAAGUACGCACCUUUAAAUGCCUGAUUUGAUUUGAUAUUCUCUGCUUAUGGUGCUAAAGCGUAAUUUAUUUAAUUGGAAAGGGAAGAGAAAGCCCUAGAAACUAAAAACCCACCUGAACUUUAGCGGAAUCUGAGAUCACUACCCAAACUUUGAAAAUUACGUGUAAACAAGCCAAAAAAGUUUGAUUUUCUGGCGAAAAGACACAUCGAGAGGGAGUUAUGUGCCAUAAAAGCAGAUUUUUCCUGUAGUUUUAUGUUGUUUUCAAUGUUCGGGUAGUGAUCUCGAGUUGCACUAAAGUUUUGGUGACUUGGAGCUUCUUGUCGAGGUUAGAAACUUCCCUUGGUUUAUAGACUUUAAAUUGUUUUACAGGGAGUUUUGCAAGUUAUUUUGACAAUGAAGUAAGAAGCCAUAUGCGCAUUCAAAUUUCCUUCAAUAAUAUAGAUACAUACAUUGCAGUUUCGCAUGAUUUUUGAUUUGUUUCGAUGGAUUUGCCAAGACAGCAUUCACGGUUAUCCGUAUACGAAAAUGUUAUCAAGCGUGCUAUUUGUCAUAUGUGUUUUGUGCCAUUUUUCUUCACCUCUCAAAAACUCAUACUGGUGAGUGCUUUUGUUGGUUAAUAUUGAAUUUUCAGGUAGAUGUGAAAAGAGCUUAUCCACGAAGUGAAAGAAACCAGAAUCACCACUACUCUCAAAAUGGAUAUCCAAAUCAAAGCCCACAUCAAAAUCCUUCACCAAGCAGGAGAUUUUUCAACAAUAAUAAUUUCAACGGGGGUCACUCUGAUUUAAAGAUCUUCGUUGGUGGUUUGCCUGCAACAACUGAAGAAUCAAAUUUCAAAAGGUACUUUGAGAAGUUUGGUACAAUAAAUGAUGUGGUUGUAAUGCAUGAUUCUAACACACAGAAGUCAAGAGGCUUUGGCUUUAUCACUUUUGACUCACCGGAUGCUGUGAAGGAAGUUUUGAAAAACAAUUUCCAUCAAUUGGAUGGAAAGAACGUAGAGGUUAAGAUAGCGGAGCCGAAGCAAGAAAAUAACAACAAUCAUAGCGGCAAUUUCACUCCAAGAACGUUUGGUAGAAGAGUGCCUCCUUUCGGUGGCUAUCAAGGCAGCAUGUAUCCACACCCACCGUAUGAUGGAGGAUAUGGUUUAUACCCUGGUUAUGCUGCACCACCUUUUCCUGGUUUUCCUUAUGCAGGAGGUGGUUAUCCAGCGGGAUAUGCCAUGGGGAACUAUGGUGGUGUGAGCUAUGGACACCACUACACGUACCCAUAUCCAUAUCCAAGGGGCCCUUGGAAUGGCUAUGGUAUGAUGGAUACGCAGAGUCCGGUACUCUAUGGAAAUGGUCCCAUGUACCCUAACUAUGUAAACGGAGGAGGCUUUGGUAGUUACGCACCUAUGGCCAGUGGCGUUUAUAAUCCAGAGAAUGGUUUAACCAAUGGAGAGCCUGUGGCCCAUGGUGGUUAUUAUGUAGACAACGGUUUAAGCAUCAGAGAACCUGCUCGUGAUGGUGCUCAUCAUGAAGGUUUAAGCAUCAGAGAGCCUGCUCGUGAUGGUGCUCAUCAUGAAGGUUUAAGCAACAGAGAGCCUGCCGCCGCUGGUGCUUAUCAUGUAGACAAUGGUUUAAGCAACAGAGAUCCUGCUGCUGAUGGUCCUCAUCGUGUAGAGAAUGGCUCAAGCAAUGGAGAGGCUAUGGCUGAUACUGCUCAUCAUGUAGAGAACGCUUUAAGCAAUAGAGAAUCUGCAGAGGAUGGUGCUUCUUAUGUGGAGAACGAUUUAAGUAACGGAGAAGGGAACCAAACUAGUUCGGAUGUACAGUCACAAGUGACAGGCGGCACAGCCACGGCACCCACAGAAACUGUGGAGUCGGAUCAGCAAUAACUUACCAUCUGGUAUGUGCCGACUAUCUUACUCUGUUUUCCUUUUUGGUAGUGGUGUGAAUUUUCCUUUUUGAGGCAUAUUGUUCUUUCAUUAGUGUUUUAUUUUCUACUCUUGUUUUCUACUAAUUUUCCGAAUGAACUCAAUUUCCAAGUUGCCAAAUUUGAUGCUUUUAGAUGGUUUCUAAAGCCAAUUAAUAAUCUGUAUCAGUAAUAUGUUUUUUUCUACUACAUUACUUUUUUUUUUGGAUAUUUAAUAAAAAAUCACAAGGUUUCAGGUUAUAGUUUAUCUUAAUAUAAUAUUUGAUUUAGCCUCGUCAUGGUAGAGUCUUUUACUUAAUAGCAAAGAUUUUACUUUGACCACAGCCAAUUAAGUUUUAUGCUAAAAAUUUUGUUCUUUUAGUUGGUUUACGCUAGUGUAAUGUAUAAGUGUAGUAAGCUUGAAAAGCACAGAGAUUGAAAAAACAAAGGAUUUUAUAUUUGGAAUUUCAAUUUGCUUUUUAUAUGGAACAUUUAUUAUGUUAUAAUUAUUGCUCUGAAAUAUUGUUGAUUUCUAGUUUAGUGCUUUUCUUGCUUGGUGUUUGGAACAGCUUCUCUUCAAGUAGGUAGAGGAGUUUGACUAGUAAUAAAUUUGAAGUUUCUGCCUUAGCUGGAAGCGGAAACAGCUUCUACUUUAGCAUCUUGAAGUUAAUUUAAACUCGUGUGAAAUUUCCUCAUUCCAUGUUUGACUUAAACUUCCGUAGUUCGGAUAUCAAAACUGAACUACAGGAUUUGUAUGGCAUGUAAUUCAUGUCAUAGUAUAGUCGGUAUGAUUUUGAACAAGACAUAUUCAAACUCUGCAUUUAAUUUGAUGUGCUAACAUUGUAUCUGUGCUUUGGAUUCAGGUGUUCGCCCUCUCUGAAGAUGAUAAGAAUUCUCAAAGUUCUCACUUACUCAGCGACAGAUAUACAAUGAUUAUUUCAUCCUUUGUUAUCAAUUUGUAUCUACUUCUGUUCACUGUAAACUGCUGUUGGAUGGUCAGCUGGUUGGACCCGCGUUUAAUUCUUUUAAACUCUUUUACUGAAUCAGUGUGUUAAUUGUUUGGACGAGUGAGGUGCACAACAUGCAUGGUGGGAAUGGCAUGGCGAAUGCUAUUUAAUGUCCAUAUCUAAAUGGGCUUUUAACCAAAGUGGCAACGGUUUCCGGGACGGGGGGAAGAAUAUUAAAAAUCUAGCGGUUUUAGGUGCAUUUGUUGUUUCCACGACUCUCAAGACCUCAACCUCAACCUGAAGAUGAGAUGGAAAAAAAAAAAAUCUGGUACAUGAUCUGUGUACCAUAUAUGUGCACACCCAUUUGUUUUAAUGGCCUUACCAUAGGAUCUUGCGCUAAUACCAAGACGUUCAUGGUGAUGCCUUUCAAUUCUUUUGUUUGGUUAUGAGGUAUUAAGAGAAAUUGAUUGCCAGUUUGUGCUUUCGGGUUUUCGAUACCAUUCGCUUUCUGGGCUUCAGUUUAUGUCGUCGAGUUCGACUUGGGUUUCCUGAGGACCAAACUGCAACUCAAGUCUAAUUGAAUUGCUAUUUGUUUCAGGGAAAAUAAAAGGUAAUGGCACAAUCUUGUUCCUGCUCCAUGCUGAGUUACAUGUGAAAUUUUCUAGGCAGAGUGGAUGCGCGAUACUUUUCAUUUGCCAAAUAUUUCUACCGCUUGUGCGACGUAAUCGACGUAAUCGUAUAUCUAGUGAGGUUGGGAACAUUAGUUUUGUUGUUUGAUGCUACAACUUUGAGGUGAUCUUGAAUCCUCAAAGCCUGCAGAGAAGUUGUUUGAAGAUCCAAACAGUAUCUGCGCCUGAGCAUAAUUUCGUGAGCUGAUUAUAAGUUUCUGCAAGUACUUCCCAUCAAAAAUAGAGCUUCGAUUGGUGAGUUCAAAUCAAAUGCCCAAUUCCUUCCAAUUCCUAUCAAAUCAGCAACUCAAUCAACAACGAGCAUGGCAAAUUCUGUACGUGGUCUUUAUCUGCCUACAAGAUCAGUGCCUGAAAAUCAGGUGUCGUACCACAUCCAUUGUGUGUCCAUAUACGUUUGGGACAUGCGGGCCCCAUCCAAUAUAAUCUUAUUGCUUAGUUCUAACUUGGAAUGACCUCUUGUCGUGUAUAACUAAUGUCCACAAUACAUAUAUACAGCAAGUGCAUCUUUCGUUGAAUUUACAAACGCAUUUUAGAAUAUACAUCUAAGAUCCCGUUUGGUUGUACUUUUACUUCUGUGUUCAACACCGGCUACUUCCGAUAGAGUAUUUGGCAGAGGAGAAAAGCUUGAAUAAAAUAAUACUUUGUGUCAUUCAAAACUCUUUUCUUGCUAUGUACGUAUGAUGGAUUGAAACGUUUGAAACUAAUACUAUUUCUGCGGUAAGCUUAAAUAAAAUUCUGAGCUAGCUUUUAAAAUAGAAGCCUAAAUAUGAUAAUACUGUGCACUAUAUAUGUCGUGUAGCAAUCCAUACCUACUCUUUAAGUUGUGAUAUCAAUGGCAAAAUAAUGUAUUGAAAAGACACCAUAUUAGCCAACAAAAUUGAUCAUGAGGGCCCGCGCUUUCAUCGCGAGAACAUAUGGUUUCAUGUAGCAUUUUUGGACUCAAGCAAGAGGAAUAAUCACUUCUCAAGUGUCCAUUUUCUAAAAGGUUAAUGCUUUUGAUCCAAGCAUUAAUUUAACAAUGAUGCGCUUAAUUAGAUUGCGGUCGACGUUGCUUCUCUACUCUCACAAAUAGCUUUGAGUGGCAACCAGUACUAAACACUUACAUGUAUGCUAAUAGGAUAUUAAUCCGCAGAUUUGUUGAGUUUAAAAAAUAAAACUUAGAUUUGAAGUUUUUGCUUCUGCUGCAACAAGAAGCUGUGGAGUAAACCUAAAUCUGAAAGCUUUGGUCCUCUUUCAAAAAAAAAAAAAAAUCAUUCAAGCAACACUUUUGUAGAAACUUUAGCCCCAUGCUUACCAUAUAUGCAACUCCUAAUGUUACAGCGACUAAUCUAAACAUGCAAGUUGAGGACGGAACAAGUAUGAAAACAUAUAUAUACGACUCAAUUAAAAAGCUUACAACCACAGCAUGAAAGUGAGUUACAUGUGCUGGAUUACGUUGUCAAAAAUGUCGUGGUAGAACAGUGAUCACUAAAUAAAGAUCUUUUAUUUUUCUUAUUGCCAACUUUGCCUUUUGACUUAUUGAUGUUCAUUAAGUAAAUUCUUUGACACAAGUUACAUAGUUAUAUAUUUCUUUAAUUUUUGUAAUCAUGGUGGCCCCAUAAAAUUGAAAUCUAAGUUGCGAAAGCAAUAGCUUCAAUGUAUAAUCAUAUUAAAGAGAUUUUGUUACUUUGUCUAAUCAGUAGGUGUAGGGUUCUUUAUUUUCGGUUUUCUUUCUUGUAUUAAAUAGGCGCUAGCUGUCUCCAUUGUGUACGCUUAAUUCAUUUCGCUUAAUGAAUGAAACAGGUAGCUUGCUACCUAUUUCUCAAAGAAAAAAAAAAAAGAUUUCAAAUAAGAAAAAUAUUGUAGAAUAUAUAGAAUUAGGCUACUAUACUAUCUAUAGUACCGAGCUCCAGUACUAUAGUGUUUGUUUUCGAUCUUAGGGCGUUCAAAUCAACGAUCCACACCAUUAAAUAUGAUCUAGGGUAUAUGAAUGUUUUAGGAAUAAAAUUUUAGUUUUUUUCGAUAUCGUUUACUUAGUAAAUAAAUUAUAUCAAAAUGGACGGUGAAAAUUGAAUAAUCUUUAAAAUUUGAGUAUAUGACUUUUAAAUUCAAGAUCAAGAAUGUUAACCUCAAUUUAUAUAGUUUAAAGUAUUUUCUAUCAAAAUUUGAAGAAAUUUAGAUUCUUCUACACCGUUAAACUCCAAACUUGUCAUAAUAGCCAUUGAAAAUUGACAAUUUUCAAAUAGUUUGAUCAUAAAGUAAACUAUGUCGAAAAAAUAUAAAAUUUUAUUUCUAGAAACUUAAAUAAUCUAGAUCAGUUUUAACGGUGUGGAUCAUUGAUUUGAACGCCCUAAGAGAAACACAAUACUAUAGUACCGGAGCUCGGUAACAAUAGAUAGUAUAGUAGGUUAGCUCCUCUCUCUCUCUCUCUCUCUCUCUCUCUAUAAAUAUAUAUAUUAUAUAUAUAAAAAUAAAAGCAAAAGAGAAGGUUAGAUUUUCAGCCUUUGUAGAGCUUGUAGCAUGCAGAACCCCUUUUCCAUUCAAACCUGUCUCUUUCUCCCCAUGCUCUUCUUUAAUUAAUAUCACACACACAACACACACACACACACACACACACACACACACACACACACACACACAAUUGAGAGAGAGAGAGAGAGAGAGAGAGAGAGAGAGAGAGAGCCAUGCACACAAUUGAAGCCAUUUAUUGGUUAAGAUAUGUGGAGGACCCCUCAACUUUAAUUAGUCCAUGUUGGAAUGGGACCCCUCAACUAGAUACUUUUCUAUUAAUAUUCUCUCACUUUUUCUUUUUUUCAAUUAAGUGAUUUUAAUCACAGUUGAAUGUAGAGUUUAUUAAAUUAUCACUGCUUUUGUCAAAUUUAAAUAGCUUUAUUCCUGUUUUAGUAACUAAAAGUAUAGAAAUUAGCAACUAAUAACUAAUAAAGCCAUUACAUUUAAUAAAAUGUAACAUAAUUAAUUAAUCAGAACAAAAUAAAAACAAGAUAAAGUUGAGAGGCCGAUGUCACAAUGUCCCAUGGGUGAUGGGGGUCUCAAUACAGUUUUACCUUUUUCCUCUUUUUUUUUUUUUUAAAAAAAAACCUUUUCACACAAAUGAACUUUGAUAGAACCACACUAUGCACCACCAUUCAUAUAUUCAUUUGAGGCAAUGCUAGAAUUAGGCUCUUAGGCUUGGCUAUUUUUGUGAUUUUUUUUUAAAAAAACCACUGCUAAUCCUAGGACCACAAAACACCAAAAGGGGAACAAAAUCUAUAUAUAUAAAAAACUAUAUUAAUAAAAGAGUGUGGAGAACUCCCCGGGCCAUUUCGCUUAGGUUCUUAUUUAAUUUGAAUUGUUAUAGUUAGUUUAUUAAAUUUAAAUUUUAUUAAUAUAACAAAAAUUUCUAGUUAUCGGCUGUUAAAAUUAUUAAAUCUGAUGAAAUCAACAUAUCAACGACGUAUUCAAUUCAAGGACAUAGUACCUGAGGAAGGUGUCAAUUAAGAAAGGAAAAGUUGAGGGAGUUAUUUCGCAAUUAGCUAUAGUUAAGGGUUGUCUCCAUACAUGUUUGCCUUGUAUAUUUGCACAUAGGCCCUUAGAUGUUGACCUCUCAUCAUUCCAUAGAGGCCAAUAUAGAGUGGGAGAGGUUAUAUAUUAUUAUAGGGGAAGUAGUAAAAGCACACUAUACAUACCAAGUCUUUGAUACUAUUGAGUUUUCUACCAUUAGAUCUACUAUUUGAUUAUUUUCACCUGUUAGAUUAUACUAUUAAACCAACCACCCACUCAAUUUUGGGGGACCACUAUAAAUUUAACCGGGAAUCACUAUCAUCCUAACCGCACAUCUUUUCAUCCAACGGCCGAAAACUCAAUAGUACAAAAGGCUGGACACUAUUGAUAGUAUAAUAGCAUAAUUCUAUAUAUAUAUAUAUAUAGAGAGAGAGAGAGAGAGAGAGAGAGAGAGAGUUGAGCUAGAAUACUUCAAAAAGCACUAAAGGGAUGGUACUUUUGAGUUUUUAAUCCUUGGAUGAAGAAAUGUAGGGUUAUGAUGAUAGUGAUAGAUGGAAUAGUGUUUGAUCCAAAGGCUAUUAGUAAUCAAGGAGUAGAUCCAAGGGCUAGAAAACUAGAAGCACCAAGUGGGUGAUACUUCUAAAAAUAUUAUAGCUUAAUUUUAUAUAUAUAUAUAUAUAUGUAUAGCUAGUCUCCUAUACUAUCUAUAAUACUGGGGGUUCGGUACUAUAGUCUUAUUUUUGAUCUUAGGGUGUUCAAAUCAAAGAUCCACACCGUUAAAACUGAUCUAAGAUAUUUAAAGUUUUUAGAAAUAAAAUUUUAUAUUUUUUCAACAUAGUUUACUUUAUAAUCAAACCAUUUCAAAAUUGUCAAUUUUCAAUGGCUAUUAUGGCGAGUUUAGAGUUUAACGGUGUAAAAGAAUCUAAAUUUCUUCAAAUUUUGAUAGAAAAUACUUUAGACUAUCUAAAUUAAGGUUAACAUUUUUUAUCUUGAAUUUAAAAGUCCUAUAUUCAAAAUUUAAAAAUUAUUUAAUUUCUACCGUUUAUUUUGACAUAAUUUAUUUACUAAGUAAACGAUAUCGAAAAAAAUCAAAAUUUUAUUCCUAAGAACUUCAUAUACCCUAUAUCAUAUUUAACGGUAUGAAUCGUUAAUUUGAGCACCCUAAAAUCAAAAACAAGACUAUAGUACCGGAGCUCCGGUACUAUAGAUAGUAUUAGUAGCUAAUUUUAUAUAUAUAUUAUAUAUAUAUAUAUUAAGUAGGCUAGAAUACUUUACAAGAUAUCACCCAAGUGAUACUUGUGUUUUUAGCCAUUGGAUCUACUUUUUGAUUACUAAUAGUCCUUGGAUCAAAACACUAUUCUACCUACCACCACCUACCACCACCUACCACCAUCAUCUCAACCUCACAUCUCUCCAUCCAAGGCUAAAAACACACAAGUAUCACUUGGAUGAUACUUUUACAGUAUUCUAGGCUCUACUAUAUAUAUAUAAGUAUAUUAUAUAUAUAUAAAUAUAUAGUAUAUAUAUAUAUAUAUGCAGCUAGAGACAUGCAAAUAUUGGGCAGGUGAGAGGCAACAAGGGAGGUAAAAGAAGCCUUUAAUGAAGCACUUUAAUUAAUAGGGGCCUGUGUUUCAAGUUGGAAAUUCAUAGAAACCCUUCUCUCCUCUCUCUUCUCAUCUCUUCGCUCUCUCUCUCUCUCUCUUUCUCUCUCUCUCUAUGACUUUGUGAAGUGCUUCUCUCUUGUUUAGUAGCUAUCCAAAACCACUUUAUUACUCCCCUCUCUUUUUGGGCUGGUUUUUGAGCUCAUUUGCUUUGAGUAUCUAGCUUGGAUUUGCUGGGAUCUUGUGUUACAUCCCCUCGUAAAAGACAAAGAACCAGGACUUAAAUGCGUUAGAUAUGUAUCUCACUCCUCAAUCCAGUGCACAGUGGGUUGGAUUUGGAUUAUUUACAUUUGCCCUUUUUUUUCAUUUCAUUUUUCAUUUCUCGUUUACUUUUCUUUUCCCCCCUUUUCCUCUUUGGGCUUUUCCUCUUCUUGCCUUUUUAUUAUGUCAGUCCAUAUUUGGAUUGGUUAUUUGGGUGUGUUAGAUAUACAAGUUUUUGUUUCUGGGGCACAGCAAUUUUGGUUAAAAGAGGGAGAGAGGCCAAAAAGGACAAUUCUCGUCUCAGAUUAUGCAGAUCAUUUUUAGCCGUUAUUGUAUUAAACUGAGAAAAACCCAAAAAAAAAAAAAAAAAAACAAGACAAAUUGCAUGCAUGCAGUCCAUUUUUUUUUUCUUUUUUCAACGCUUACGUGAAUUUAUCCUGCACCAAAAAUAAUGCACCAUCCGAUCAGUAAUAUGUGUGUUUACUUUUGAGUAGUACGUGCUUCUUAUUUCGGCAUUAUUUAAAUAUUAAAUAUUUAAAUUCAGCAUAUUUAAAACCCUUACAAAAAAUAACCUUUUAACUGCUACAUAAUAAAAUAAUAUUUUUAACAUUUAUUGAUCAACGGUUAAUUUUUUUUAUUUUUUAUAAAAUAGAGUACGGAAUCCUUUCUCGUUUCUUUCAUAUCAUCUCAUUUCUCAUAGUUAAAAUAAUAUAAGAUAAUUUACAUAAAGAGAUAAGAGUUCGUAUAUAUCUGGCUUGUUAAUGCCUUUUGUCUACUCGUUUUUUUUUUUUUUUUUUUUUUUCGGUUUCCUUCAUGCCUUUUUUAUCUCCUUUUUCCUUUUCAUUAAUUUAACAUGACCUUUAAGAUGCAUAAUGGGGGAUCUCCAUGAUUUGUCUUUGUCAUAGGCCACAGUGUCUGUGGCCCUUACACACACACACACACACACACACACACACACACACACAUAUAUAAUAUAUAUAUAUAUAUACACAUUAAUUUACAUCACUACAGUACACGACAAUAGCAUUUUAAUACACAUGCAUACUACGAAGGCUGCUGUAUAUACCUUUUGGAUAAAAAGUGGAAAUUAAAACCCAUACAUUAAAUCCAUACAUUCCGUUACAGAAACUAUUGCUUGCACCAGAGCUAAAUAAAUUCAUACAUCUUAUGCACCACACUUAAUUUGAUCACGCUUCGAUCUAACCAUCCAACUUGUGAACAAAAUAAUACAUCUACAUCGGGCAUGCAAUGCAUCUAAUGAAUGUUUGGUCACUUCCAAUCUUUUGGGUGGUAUGGUAUCUGAGCUACAUUUAAACUGGGACGUCCCUUCACUUUAAGAGGUUCUGAAUUCAAGUUCCACAUUUACUAUUAGCGUUAUAAUUAUUUCCGGAUCUCCUAUUAAUUAAAAUUGAUAUAUAUGUAACAUAUACAUGCAUUUUCAUUCUCACAAAUCAUGGCUUAAUUUAAAAUGGAUGCAUGGAAAUUUAAGUCAGGUGGAUUUGAUACCUUCGAGAGAUCAAAUCCUCAUUUAGUUUGAUAAUUAAGACUUUUCUUGGACCAUUUUCUAUCCAUGAAUUUUUUGAAUAAUAUAAUAUUAUAGAGUCAACGCUAAAUCCUCUCAAUUCCAAAUGAUCAUAAAUUCUAAUCAUACACCCCCAAUUUAGCAACACGAAUCAAUAUUGUUAGUGCACAUAGUGUGAUUUAACUAAAUAUCCACUAUAUAUAUAUAUAUAUAUAUAUAUAUAUAUAUAUAUAUAUAUAUAUAAUCAGGCACAUUAAGUCUUGCUUUAAUUUUAUACCAAUUUUGAUCAUACUUUUUUUUCCCAGAGAAUGAAGCUUAGAAAUUGUUAGCGAGACAAUAUACAGUAUUGUUAUAAGAUCAGUGUGAUACAAUUAAACUUUAGAUAAAUAGACGGUAAAAUUCACACUCAAUUUUGGAUGUGUAGAUAAAAUUGCUCUUUUUAUUUGCAUAUUGCAUAGGUGGUCCUAAGUUGUACAACCACAGAGAGUUUACUUGAGAUUAUAUGUCAUAGUUAUAGCACGUGUGGACACGUGUGGAUGAGAACAAUAUUUUACUUACAAUGAUUACGCACUAAUCAUUUGCCUACUAAUUAUUCACGUGCAACACGAGGUCCCCCACACUAAUAUAUAGGCUUCUACAUAAUUCACAAAAAAAAAUAGAGGAAAAAAGUUUAAAUAGUUCAUAAAUCUUACUCGAAUUUUGUGUAAUUCUAUAUUUAUUACUAUUUAUGGUAAAAACUUACCAUAACUCGAGGUGGGUUUGGGGCUUAAUUAAUUUCACGGGAGAUCAUUAAUUUCUUUUUAAAUACUUUAUUUUUAUAUUAGGAGGCAAAUGGAGUAAUGGACCUAAACCAAACUAGAACUUGACCCAAAUGAAAUGCCCUAUUAGGUAAAAGCUAAUGGAACUGGGUUAAUGGGGACACAAUCCGGUUGUUGCAUAAAAAAUCAUCAAGCUACUUCAAAAAGCACUAAAGUCCCUUCAAUAAUUUUCUAUAUAGGUAGCAAAAUAAAAGCUUGUAAUUAAUUUUGCGUUUAAAAUAUUAAGAUACCAGGCUUAUUUCAACUUUCUAUCUUGAAGAAAAAAGAUUUAAAUUAUUUAUGUGCCAACUGCUACCUACUACUUUUUUAGGUAAAUAUUUUAUUUUUUUAAAAAAAUCAAGCUAAGAAAAUUACUUAAAGAUCUUAACCAAAAGAUAAUGAAUAGUAUAUUCUGUGGAUGGUAUUUCAUUACUUUAUUUCCUGUAAUAAUGUUCUUAAAACUUUGCUUUAUGUGCUUAUUUUUUUUUCCUCCUCAUGUUUAAGCAUGCAUUAUUAAUGUGUCUUGGAAUUUUUGGGCUCACAAGAAGGGAAUUAAAGCUUUGAACAGGAACAUCUCUGUUUGCACUGCUGGAGCCAACAAGUUUCUUUUUUUCCAACAGAAGCAACUCUAUUAAUGGCUCCUAUAAAUCUAUGUUUACUAUAAAUAGUAAAGAGUACAAAUGGGGCAAGGCAAGCCAUUAACAUUUUGUCCUAGCAUUAGUUGAUUCAGAGAAACUCUGUAUACCAAAUUCCACCAUUUCAUUAUGUAUAUUGUAUAUAUAUUUAAAUCCCAUAUAUUUUGUUUUUCUUUUGACCUGUAGUAGCUACAUACAUCCUUUUAUAUAUAAUAAACAUAGGUGAAAAUAUUUUCGAUCUUUUGUAUAAUAUGGUAUCAGAAUCAGUCCUAAUUAAACACGCUCAGUUUUGAUGGCAUAAACGAUUCUCAAAUAUUUCCGACAAGGUCGAUCUUUUGUCUAACACUUGAUAUAAUGUAUUCAAAUUUUUUACCCAAAGGGUUUGGCAAUCUUUUUCUCUGGGCAGAUGCAUGAAUGCAUCAUCAUCAAUUGAUGCCAUCUGUUGUAUUGUUUACUGUUUGUGCAGCCCUCAAAUGCUUUUAUGAUAUAUCCCUGCUUUGUUUCACUUGGCUCUUCCCUGUUUCUGUUACUCACCAUUUUGCCUUGUUUUGGAUAGAGGAGGGAUCCAUGCCAUAUGCCUUAGAGGACAAAUUGAUGGUGAAGGGUGAAACCAAAGGGCCUUAAAGCCAAUCUGAGCACCUCUGCAUCAAUGAAAGGGACCUGUGAAAGGGAAAAGAAUAGGAUGGGUCUGAGGAGAAUGUAUGAUGUAGAAUUGCUAAGGACUAAGGAGGCACAGUUCCAAACAGAAGUUGUUGGGUAUCUCCAUCAUUGCAAUAAUCAGUGUGGUAGGAGAUUGCAAGGGGGUUGGGGUUUUCUCUCUUGGUUGUUUCUUUUGGUGUGAGCUCACUUGUUCCCCAAAUUCAUGUCACAAGGAAUAUCUGUCUUGUUAAUAGCAUGCACCAUGGUAUAACAAGGGCAAAGAGAGUUCUAUUUUGUUAAUCAUAAUCAGCAGCAAUUUGAAAAUUUUAGUCCCCAAUCCAUGUGAAAUUACUAUUUUUAAACCUUGAAAGGCCAUAUGUGUAUGAUGGUUGUUUUAGCACAACCCUCUACUUGGCUCCUGUUAUUGUCUUUUAUUAGGGCUUUCACUCCCUUUGUCUAUUUGAGAAAGAAAGCAAUAAUUGUAGUUAUACUACUAUUUUGAGGAUGAUCCAAAGCAAAUCAUUGGGCUAUUUUCUUCAUAUAUAUAUAUAUAUAUACACACACACACACUAGUUAUGUUCCAAUUUUGCCAUGUUUUUAAACCAGCUUCUUUACAAGAGAAGCAGACUCAGAUAAAAAUAAUACGUGGAGUUUUUUGUUGUACCAAAUGAAUAGAACUUUUGUCUUUAGUUGUAGAUACCAAGCCAUUUGGCCGUUAGAAAAUAAAUAUAAAUAUAUUACUAAUGCUUUUCCGAACAACUCUAUUAGAUUUAUAAUAGAGUGAAAGAGGGUCAUAUACUCAUGUGUUUACACAAGAAGAAGAUGAUAACAUUGUGUACUGCUGCUCCCAAUUAGGAGCAGCUUUUCCUAUCCCCUUUGGCCCUUACCACAUCAUUCAUGGAAUAUAAGGAGCACAGCCCAUUGACCCACACCCCCCCUCUUUUGUCUGAAGCUGUUGACCACAUUCAAAUAUCCUUUUAACCCAUGCGUGAACUACUUUGCCACUUAGCCAUGUGAGCAUAUAUUUAGCCACUUGAUCUAUGCACACAUCUCUUAUGUGUCCACGGCUUUAUUAUUAAACCAAAAAAAAAUCAUUAUCGUCGUGAAUAAUUACUACCGUAAGAGAAUGCAAAACAACUAUUUAUCUUUUAUAGCUGAAGCCGUUAGAAAAACGGUAUUUCUAAAUACUAAUAUUCAAUACUUCUUGCGUCUUAACUUGAAAUUUUUUCAAUAGACUUGAAUCAAACGCGAGGAAUACAAAUAAAAAAAGCAAGCUAGAAAGUUCGAUGAAACUUGAACUCAGAACUUUCUACUCUGAUGCUAUAAUAAAGAAUGCGAAACAACGAUUUGUUUCGCUUUGGAAUUUAUAUUCGACAGAUAGGAUCUUCUUUUCUCACCUCUAUUCUCACUAAAGUAUUUAAUUUUCAGAGUCAUUGUUUAAGUUGAAGGGCUGUUGAGAUGUAGGGGCCUUGUGGCAUAAAUCACACACAAGUGAAAGGAUUCAAAUAGAUCCUUCAGUUGCAGUAUAGGCUUAGCUUGUACACAGCUACAACUGUUCUGAAGUGACUUGUACAGCCUCCUUCCUUCCCUGUCAAUCCAUCUGAUGGACAUGAGACUUAAAUUUCAAACAAAAAAGAAAGAAAAAAAAGAAUAGAAAGAAGCAAUCUUGUUAUGGCCACAUAUCAUACUUGCUUCAUUCAUGAAUAAAGGAAAGGAAACUUCCUUAUUUAUUAUUAUCUUGGGACACUUCCAAGUCCCUCUCUAAUUGUGUGUUUGUGUGGGGUUUUAAGGGGGGAUUAACAAAAAGGCAAAGGGGGGGUGUUGAAUGAAAAGGAAAAGAGGUGGGCUUUCUCAGAACACAGAUCCCUAUGGGAUGCAGGAGGGGUAGUAGAAUUUACCCAGCAUUUCUUUGGGGGAACUCAUUCCUUUUGCUUAGUUUAAAGGCACCACUACUCCUCCUCCUCCUCCUCCUCCUCCUACUACUACUACUAGUAGAACUAUACCACUUGUUAUUCUCCUCCUCUAUUAAUAAGUGCUUUUUGGCUUUGCUGUGCUUUGCUCCUACCCACACUCCACAGAGGAGUUUGCAACAUUGCAUUAAUAAAAAAACCUUGGGGGGAGGAGGAGGAGGAGGCCAUUUGGUGUUUGAACACAAAAACCCAAGUCUCAAAAACAAUGGAGUGGGCAUCAUUAGAGUGUGUACUCUCCAAUGAUUGAGUUGCCUCCUCCUUGCAUUGGGCCUUGUUAAAAAUCCCCCUCCCUCUUAUUUGUAGUAGUAGUAGUAGUGGAGGAUUAAGAUGAAGUCCAUGAGCAAUAAUAACACUAACAACAACAACAACAACAACAACAACAACAGCAACAACAGCAGCAGCAGCAACAACAACUGGUUGGGUUUCUCUCUCUCUCCUCACAUGACCAUGGAGGUAUCUGGGGGCUCAGCCCACCACCACCAACAACAACCCAGCAAUGAUCAGGGCCAUCAUCACCACCACCAUCCCCAGCACAUAACUGCCUCUGCCUCUGCUUCUGCUUCUGCUGUUUCUGGUGUCUUCUUCCCUCCUACCCACUUCUGUUAUGGUGUGGGAGACAAUGGGGGUUACUAUUCCCAGCUAUCCUCCAUGCCCUUGAAAUCAGAUGGGUCUCUUUGCAUCAUGGAAGCACUUAGCAGAUCAGAACAAGGUUUCUUCUUCUUCUUUUUUUUUUUUUUUUUUUUUUUUGCUCUAUUUAGCUUCUCCUCACUGCUUCUCCAGUAAGCCCCUUCUUUUUUCUGUUUCCUCUUUUAUUAGUAGGAAUGGUUCCAUCCCCAUCUCCAAAAUUAGAAGAUUUCUUAGGGAGUGGUCCAAACAUGGGGACCCAUCAUGAUCACUAUGGAAACAACAACCACAACCACAACAACAACAACAACAACAACAGCAGCAGCAGCAAUGAUAGGGGAUCAACAAUGGCUUUAAGCUUGGAUAGCAUGUACUACCACCAAAACCCAGUUCAUGAUACCACCCAAACCCACCCUCUACACCUCCAACAACACCCAUUUUUCCAACCACUGCAAGAAGGUGUGUGCUCUGUUCUGGGAGGCCAUGACAUGUAUCAUGCAUCACUGGUGGAGGACCCAAUGGUUGGCGAUAGCAACUGGGUUCCAAGGAGCUACAAUGGUGGGAGUAGUGGCAUAAAUGAUGAAGGGAGCAUGACAACUGGUGCUCUUGGUGCAGUGGCCUAUGGGGAGUUGCACCCCUUGAGCUUAUCCAUGAGCUCUGGUUCACAAUCUAGCUGUGUAACAGCUCCUCUGCAUGUAACUCCACCUACACCAACUGAUUACAUGAACUUAGAUGCAAGUAAGAGGAGAGGGGGUGGGAAAGGGGGACAAAAACAACCAGUGCAUAGGAAAUCUAUUGAUACAUUUGGACAGAGAACUUCUCAGUAUAGAGGUGUUACAAGGUUAGUAUAGCAUCUUCAUCUUGUAGUUCUAUACUUAAAAAUAGUUUCUCUUUUGUGGAAUUGGGCUUUCUUUCUUUCUUUCUUUCUUUAUUUAUUUAUUUGUUCCCAUAGGCAUAGGUGGACUGGGAGAUAUGAAGCCCAUUUAUGGGACAAUAGCUGCAAGAAGGAAGGUCAAACAAGAAAGGGAAGGCAAGGUUUGUAGCAUAUGUAACAUUCACAUCACCACCAACUAAGAUAUUAUUUAUGAAGCUCUUUUUCUAUCAAGUGUAAUGCUUCUUUAUGUAGUGCUUUGUGCUUUGUGCUUAUUACUAAUUUGCCAUGUUUUUGCAUGGGGGUUCUGUGGAUGAAACAUGUGUUCUGUUGCAGUUUAUCUGGGUAAGAGUCUUUUCUCCCUCCCUUUUUACUUCAUGUUUUACUUACCUAUGGUUAAUGUAAAAGAUAUGUAACAAAAUUUAUAGAUAUUUAUGAAAUGUUCACAAAAAUGUGGUUUAGGGGGUUAUGACAUGGAAGAGAAAGCCGCGAGAGCUUACGACUUGGCCGCGCUUAAAUACUGGGGACCGUCGACGCACAUUAACUUCCCGGUAAGUUUUGAUUCAUUGGUUCUGUCAGUGAAUCUCUACUCCUGUCUCUUGGGGUUUGUAACUAAUUUUUGAAGUGGUUUGAGUUGUUUUUAGUUGGAGGAUUAUCAGGAGGAAUUGGAGGAGAUGAAGAACAUGACCAGGCAAGAAUAUGUAGCUCACUUGAGAAGGUAAUACUCUACACAUCUUUUCUUUUUCCCCCCACAUUAUCUAUAGACCUAUUUAGAUUCAUCUAACCUAAACUACAUAUAUGUCUCCUGGCAGAAAAAGUAGUGGUUUUUCGCGAGGCGCUUCGAUUUACAGAGGAGUAACAAGGUUAUAAUUUGUUGUCAAAUUUCAGCGGAAAGUUGUACCCUAUCCUCUUUUUAAUAGAUUUAAGAUAUAGUGAAUUCCUUGCUUCUACUUGUUUUUAGGCAUCACCAACAUGGUAGGUGGCAAGCGCGGAUCGGAAGGGUAUCCGGGAACAAGGAUCUUUAUCUCGGAACAUUUAGUAAGUCUCAUGAGUUUGGUACCUCUUCUCUUUUUUUCCUUUUUGCAUGCCUCUAUCUAUCAUCAAAAUUCUCAAAGUUGGGAGUAAGUAGAUGUCCAAUCACAGAGGUUUAAACCUUGGACAAAUAGUUCCUCAUGCUCUAUCAAAGAAUGUUACUCCCCUGCCAAUUCAUGCUUUUGAUACUAGGACUUUAUCCUAAAGAGCCCUCACAAACUUAUGCUUUUUCCUAAGGCUGAAUCCAACAGUGGUUCAAAGCACUUGUUUGACUAUUUCACAGUCCUUCAUGGUCAAAGCUGAAAAGAAAAGCACUCCAUGUUUAAAGCCUCAGCUUCUUAUCAUGCCUCAUGAUUUGAGUUAAUCAAGUGAAUUGCGCAACAGGCACACAGGAGGAAGCAGCUGAAGCGUACGACAUAGCGGCGAUCAAAUUCCGCGGGACUAACGCGGUAACCAACUUUGACAUAUCGAGGUACGACGUCGAGAAGAUAAUGGCGAGUAGCACUCUCCUAUCGGGCGAGAGCGCGCGGAGGAACAAAAGCAUUGAGGCUCAGAAGUGCGGCAAAGAUAAUCAUCUUCCCUUACUUGAUGAUAACAGUAGUAGCGGUUCGGAGUGGAAGAUGACUGUGUUUCAGGGAAACAACCAAACCCCUACGCCGCGCUCCGAGGAACAUACUAAUCAGGAAAGUCUAGAAGCUUCCGGAGAGUUCCGGAACGAGACCUUUUCGGUGCUCCAAGGGUUGGUUGGUAUUGAUGCAAUGAGCUCAGCAGCGCAAGUUGGUGACAAUGCGGAGAGCAGGGCUAAUCCGCAUUUGGUGAAUGAGUCACCGCCGAUGGCGAGUAUUGGCUUGGGCAAUUCGCGGGAGGAGAGCCCGGAUCGGGGCGGUCUCGCGAUGUUCUUCGCGAAGCCGACGGCCAAGAUCAUGAGCCCCACUCCAUUGAGCUCAUGGAUGCCUUCAACUCAGAUAAGGCCUAGUAGUGUUGCCAUGGCCCAGAUGCCACUUUUCGCCGCAUGGACUGAUGCUUAGAUGUUCGAAAAAGCGGAGGGGGUGGGUGAAAAAUUAGGACUUGGGGGGUGUUGCUUAGGUGUUUGGAGUUUAGAUUUAGUAAGUAUGGGAUCCAAAUUAAGGUGGAGAUUGCCUCUAUCCUUUUCCACUAUGUCAAAGUAGUUGUUCUUUGUUUUCAGCUGUUCUUUUUUUUUUUCUUUUUUUUUUCCUUUUUUGGGUGCUUUGGGGGGCUACUGACUAGUGUUGGGGCCUUGUGGGGAAGGGAUUUUGUAAUGCGGAGGCCAUGAUUCCACUGCCUUAAUUGGGUGGCUUAUUUCAUCUUUAAAUUAAGCGUUUAGUCUCCUCCUGUUUUUCUCUUCCAUGGGCUCAGUUCCACUCUGAAACAAUUUGGAUGAAUCCAAGACACAUCUAAUGUAGAAAAAAAAAAAAAAAAACUCAAUCCAUGCAAGGGAUGAAUAAAAUCUCUUGCUCACUUAAUCAGAAUCAGAAACCAAAUUAUUAUAACUUCGAUUAGACAAACUGUUUGACCAAUCUUCUUCUGCUGCUGCUGCUUCUGCUGCUGCAGCACAGCAGCAGCUGCAUCUGCAUCUGCUGCACACACAAUUGAAGGACUGUGUUGCCGGGUCACAAUCUCGAGUCACUUCGUCCCGUCUCCGUAUAGCAAAAAAAUAUUUAACGCGUACCACCGUAGCAGCAGCAGAUCUAUCUGGCGGAGUAUCUAGGACCUCCCAUUGUAUGUAUAUCAUCUUAAAAAAAUGUUAAUAAUCAUGUCCAAAUCAUUUCAAAUGUUGUUAAAAUACAAAUUCAUAGAGUCAGACCCCAUUUUGGUAUAUUUGCAGCUUUUUUUUAAAAAAAAAAAUUAUAUAAGAUAGUGUAGCAGAGAUUAAUAGAUUACUAGGAAAAAAGCAAAAUUUGAAGGUAAUUUUUGUUUUUUGCUUGCAAAAUUGCUCCAAUGAUACUGAGAAUGAUGUCCUAGAUUCUGAUUUUGCGGCUUCUAUUUCUCAUAUUUUAGAGAUGCAGUGUAGGAGAUUUACUUAUACACCGGGUGCAGGUGCAGGAAACAGGUUCUCCUCUUCCCCUCUCGUGGACCGAACCGAAUCUAUGUAUACGGAUGUGUAAAUCUGAAAUUCGGGCGCGAACGCAGCGCCGUGCCGCCACGUCAGCAGAUGCCGACGGCCGAAUUUUGACCCGUGACAGCUGGCAGAAUCUAGCCGAAGGAUCUUGUCGGGCCUGAUCCCUCCCGCCACGUACACAGCUCGAAAUUCCACUUUUGCCCCCGUCGUUCGCCACAAAUUACCGUCCUUGCCAUUCACGGCUCACGGGUUGCGAACUUGCGAAAGCCGCGGAAGUGGAGGAACCGCUGCGCGAUACGAAAUUCGCUCUCUCGACCUGGUCCACCACGUCAGCCGUGGACCGGACAAGUGUAAUAUUUCUUAAUUAAUUUUUAAUUAACUGUGGGCUUUUGUAGCCCACUUAAUAUACACACAAGUGGGUUAAGGCUCAAGUGGGCUUACGUUAUGAAAAGGGCCCAAAUUCUUUAUAAGUGUUCAUUUCAAAGCCCAUGUUGAGACACCAUUACAUACAAGUUAUCUACUUUUGUUCAUCUUGUUUAGCAAGUGUUAUCAUUUUAUAUUAUCACCUUAUUUAGAUGAGGAUGUUGAUUUCUUCAAGAAAUGUGAAUCAAUUGAUAGUUGGAUGUUUUUUUUGGCGGGGGAAGGAACUUGUAUUUAAUUUUAAUUCUUAAAAAACCGACCGUCCCUAGAGCAAGUGGCAAAGAACUUAGUGGUUGGUACCAGAGACCCAAGUUCAAAUCCUAGUUGAUUCAUAUUUCUAGCUAAGUUUAUUUCUAAAUGAAAUAAACGAAGCGGAUAGCAUGCUACGUAUCUCUCAAAAAAAAAAAAAAAAAAUCUUAAAAAGUUGAGAUUUCUCAACCUGCUACACAUAAAAAGAAGUAUUUAAUUACUUAAUAAGAUGGUGGCGAAAGGGUAAAAUUGAGCAUAUGUUUUCUCCAUAUUCAUUGAGUAACAUAUGCAACUAGACCAACUAUAACCCAACUUCAUUUUUUGCAAGUGUUGCCUGUAUCAAACGCUAAUGAUCUUUUUAUAAAAAUUUUCCAGCAACUUUUCAGUGGAGGACGAGUGAGUUUUUACAUUUUAGUUAUCAAAUCUCCGACCAGUAAGUUGAGAAGUCAGGCUGAAUAAGCUGUUCAUGAGAAUCUCUUUGUAACAAUCUGCAGUUAUUCCAUUUCAUGAUAUGAAAAGACGAAAAGUACGUAAAACCUCUAACAUCCUUAUCACAGGUUCUCUGCGGAAAAAAAAGUAUUAUUAACUUCAUCUGAGCACACACCUCAUUUGAAUGAGACAUCACAGCUGGAAACUAGGGUGAAUGAUCCACAAUCACCUGAUUGGAAAAAGAAGAUGAGUGAUCUCUCCUUUAUGUAAUCUAAACUGUAACAUGCAAUGAUCCAGGAAACAUCCUAUUAAGCAAUGGACUGUCCCCCAGUAAGUUACAGCUCAUCUCAGGAAAACAAAUUGAGGACAAAAGAUGGAAAAAGAGUGCAAUUAUUUGGUAUGGUCACCAAUAAUGCAUUGUAGCCAGAUGCUUGUUUAAGUGAUAAUUACUUGUACUAAAACAUGAGAACACACAGCUGGGGACAAAUUUGAUUUGACUAAUAAAGAGAGAUUCCCAAAUGGCACUAUUUGUCCUUUGUUUUAUUCUCUGUAACACCCAUAGAUUUUCUAUUUUGUAGGAAAUAAAAAAGAAGCCAUGUUGAGAAUCUUCCUUUGUUCCAGGUUAUAUCCUGGGAUGGUUGAGAAUAGAAGAAAUUGAAUAAGGCAUUUCCAUUGGUACAUAUAGAAUUCAUAUUUAGAAAAAACUAAAUGCAGCAAAUCAAGUUCUCUAUAACUGUGAAGUUCAAGGAUUCUGAUAGUUUGAGACAUUGUGAGAUCCUUUGUAAAUUUUCAAAUUCCCACAUGCAAUUGUAGCUACCAAAGACCAGUAAAAUUGUAUUGAAGUGUUCAAGUAAAAGAACCAUCUGAGAAUACAAAAUUUUCUUACAAAAGAAUGAGAGAUCUUAAAGAAUUGAAGCACCUAACAGGCUUUAGAGAGCUGAGUUAUCUACACCUCCAAAGAAGAGGAACACUCCUUUUUAAUUUAAUUAAAUAAAGAGCCCCAUAGGACGGAUAAAAUGCAAUGGAAAUGGAGCAUCAAAUUAGGCCGCCUUUUCCUAGAGAAAGAGUAUUCCUUCAUGAACUCCUCCAACCCUUUGUCACUCAACCUGCUCGCCGAUCAAAUCGAGGCCGACCAACAAGAACGAGAUCCCUUGAAACAGUAAGAAGUAAAAGUGAAUCCCUUGUGCGGAGAGAAGGCUCCGAGCAGCGGCGGUUAGUAGGAGAAAUGCGAGCGCCAACUCCUUCCUGUAAAUCCUGUUGUGCUUCUUCUUCUUACUGGCCUUGUUGGGAAGGGACUGCUCCUUAGCUAUCGAGUCUAAAUUAGGGGCCGACCCGCCUCUCUGUUGAACAGCAGGGGUGGCCUCUUUGUGGACCAAGGAAAUUAGGUCGCCCUCGGAUGAACGACCAGAUUUCUUGGUCACAACCCAUUCAUAGGCGCUACCGAGCUGGAAGAGGCCAGAGAUCAUGGCAUUGAACUUGGUGACGGACAUGGUGUUCUCGAAGAGAAGGUAGGGGACGAUGAAUGGGAAGGAGCGGGGCGCCGGGAGGAUGUUGAGGAAGGACAUGGUGGCGGGGACAUAGCAGACGACCCAGGCAGGGAGCUCGGCCUCGGGAACGAACAUGGUCAUGGGGAGGAUGAUGCAGAAGAGCGUGAAGGAGUAGAAGGGUAGGAUGAGUUUGCGAAGGAGGAAGAAGAGGAAUAUUAGGUUGGCCUUCUUCCAGAAUUCGAUCUGCAACGUAGUUUCACAGAUAUUAGAAUGAAUGAAGUCCAUUUCUGUAGCUCUAAAAUUUCUCAAAAUGGCAAUUAUGAAAAAUAAUUGCGAUGAAAAUGAAUCAUUGCUAAGCAAGUCAAUUUCCACUACUACUUUGGAGGAUUUUUUUUUUUUUUUUUUUUUCAGAUCAUUUAAGUCAGCUUCAUGCUAGCUUCUAGAAUACUAUGCUAUGUUGAUGCAUACCGCUAUUUGUUUAGACAUCAAAAUUUUAGUGUAUUGAACACAAACCAAUGUGUAUAUACAUUGGGAAUCUGCAUUUCAUCAAAAGCAAGGUAAAACAUUCAUUCUUAAUGCUAUAUCAAACAAGUUCUGUAACGUAUCAAACUUUCAUGCGAUUCAUUCCACGCCGAUGUUUUCUGUUAUCUAAAUGAGCUGCAAAGAAAGCUGUAAUAUAAAUUAGACAUGCUAUGUUGUGCACAAGGGAGUGCCGUUCUUUCUCGUUUUAAGUUAUCGCCAAUGGUGAGUAUAAUCUAAGACACCAACAUGAAUAGGAUAGAAUUCUGGAGCAUACCUUGGAUCUGAUAAUGUCAGGCAAGCAGAGCCUGAACAACUGCAUUGGACCCGAAUGCCACCGAUGCUGCUGCUUCCUGUACGCCUCGUACGACUCCGGCAAUUCACAUUGGCACUGCAAAUUUUUUGCAAAAUUCUCAAAUCAAUUCCUAGAACUCACGUAAUCAAGCGAAAUAAACAAUCGCAACAAAGAGGUCUCUCCUAGCACCUCUACAUCGUUUAGAAAGACGAACUUCCACCCCUUAAGAUGCGCUCGCACCGCAAUGUCCAUGUCCUCCACCGUCGUCCUCUCCAUCCACCCUCCCGAAUCCUCUAACGCCUUAAUCCUCCACACUCCCGCCGUUCCGUUAAACCCAAAGAAGUUAAUGAACACCCCAUUCACCUGCUGCUCCACUUCAAAGUGGAAGCAAAGGUUUAUAUUUUGAAGCCGCGUUAAGAGGUUCUCGUCCUUGUUCACAAACGACCACCUCGCCUGCACCAACCCCACCUCUUCAUUGUCCUGCAGAGCCCUAAUAGCCAUUAGAAAACGUCGAAGAUAUAAUAUGAUUGUUUCACACGGUAUCCAGUAUCGGAGCUGGUUUCGCGUAAACCUUGAAGUGGGGAAUGGUGCGCUUGAGGAAGUCGGGGGCGGGCUGGAAGUCGGCAUCGAAGAUGGCGACGAAUUCGUAGUCCUCGACGUAGCCGCAGCUCAUCGCCGACUUGAGGUUCCCGGCCUUGUAGCCCUCGCGGAUCACGCGGUGGCGGUACACGAUCUGCGCCCCGCUCUGCUGCCACUUCUCCACUUCCUCCUUGAUCAGGGCCUGCGUCUCCGGAUCGUCGGAAUCGUCCAAAACCUGCACCAAGAAGUUCGACCGCGGCCAAUCGAGGUUGCACACCGCGGCGAUGGACUGCUGGUAAACCUGCGCCACAAUGCAGAUUCAGUAGUGAAUUGAAAUUGAGGGGAGUGGUAAGUAAUAGCCAAUUGAUUCAAAAUGUGAUUUUUUUUAUUACCUCUCGCUCGUUGCACAUGGGGAUUUGGACGAGGACCAUGGGGAAGUGGGCGGAACCAGCGCCGGAUUCGAGGUCUUGGGGGAGGAGGGGUUGCUUCGGCACCGGCUUAAUCUUCUUGAAGUGGAUCCAGAAGCAGCCGACGCAGAGGAUGAGGCGAUCGAGGCUCUGGACGAGGAAGAGGACGACGCAGGCGUCGGCGAGGAAUUGGAGGGGCGGGGCGAGGUACGCGGCGCGGAAGCUGACCCAGCGGGAGUAGAUCGAGUCGAAGAGGCCGUGGAGGUCGGGGGCGGCGAGGUGCCAACCCUCGAAGUAGGCGGCGACCUCCACGAGGAGGAGGAGGAGGGAGAGGACGAGGAAGGCGCGGAUGAAGGAGUAGAAGCGGGAGCGGAGCACGGGGCUCUCCUCGGGCGCGGCGGAGCCCGCGUCGGAGUCGGUGCGCCCCGCGGCGACGCGGCGGCGCACGGCGGAGGCGAGGCCCGUGAGGCACCCCGCCGCGCGGUGCGCCUUCAGGAGGAGCACCCACGUUAUCUGCUUCGCGUUCUUCCCCCUCCCACCCUUCCUCGCCGCCGCNCGCGGCGGACGCGAGCCCCGUGAGGCACCCCGCCGCGCGGUGCGCCUUCAGGAGGAGCACCCACGUUAUCUGCUUCGCGUUCUUCCCCCUCCCACCCUUCCUCGCCGCCGCCGCCGCCGCCGCCGCCGCGGCGCCCCCACCCCCGCCGCCGCCGCCUCCGCCGCCGCCGCCGUAGUCGUCGUCGUCGUCGUCGUCCGGGGACGAGAUCUCGGCGAUGGACCAGUUGGGGUUCUCCAUCUUCACCACCACCGGCGUCCCGCGGUGGGCGGCCUCCUUGCUGCCCCACCACCCGAACGACGGCGCCAUUACCCACACCACCCACCCACCAGCCCAAAUCUCCUCCUCAAAAGCGGCGCCUUUCCUAUGUUCGACGAAAUGCCCCAACCAAAACCAACCUCCAACCUCGUCAAAUCCCAACCAUUCACACCUCCGGAAACGAGCUUCCCUUCCUCCUCAAUACGAGAACAGCUCAACACGUCCCGCAACCUAUAUAUAAAUUUUUUUUUUUAACCUGUUAGAAAAGCUCCGAACUUUCUUUACUACAGCCCCCCAUGAUUGCCGGGUAGAAUCGCGAAGGAUAGGAAAAAAAAAAAAAAAGAGAUUAAUUUAAGCGGAUCUGGGUAUUAAACAAAAGAGGGAAAGUGGAAACCCUGUGUGCCUUCUUUUUCUUCUUCUUCUUCACCACUUCCUUGGAUUAAUCUCAUCUUUUACCUCUCCUUUUCCUUUUUAACUCUCUCCAAGGUCACAAAAACAAAAAAAAAAAAAAGCAAAAAAAGAAAGAAAUUUGUAUUUAUUUUUUUGACGAGCUAAAGAGAAAAGGGCGAGGAGGGAGACGACGAUCGCUUUCGACCGUACGCGCAUAAUUACAGGGAUGUGGAUUUAACCGAGAGGGGCGAGGAGUGAUGUACGGACACUGUCGCAUGCGGGCGCGUACGAUCCGACCGUUCGUUUCCUCGCUGAUCGACGCGGCGUCCGCAUGCGACCGCGUUCGUAUAUCGCCCUCGCCCGACACAGUUCUGCUUUUGCCACGUCAGCGCCCGCGGGUUCGGGGUCGUAAAAUUUUGGGCCGUUCUACGGUUGCCUUUUUCUUAUUGGCGUUUAAGACCGAGUCGUUCCAUUGAGAAAGAUAUUAGCUUACACCAGGUGUACCAAAAAUAUGUUAUAAACUGUAUCUUAAAUACUAUUAAUUAUAAAAAUCUAAAAAAAUAAAAUAUAAUUUCUAAAAUGCAUUUUAUAACUCUUAUUAAAAAAUUUAAAUGUCAAAAAUUACGAAAUACAGGGCAUAAAUUUCGUACACCACUGAGGUUUGAAGAGUUCACUGAAAUGGACGGCCGUGAUUGCUUCAGGUAAUUGCGAGAUGCAUUGAGAGGAUCUAAGGCCCGAUCACAGCCGUUGGAGUUUUACGUUGGGAACAAAAAGUACAUGUGGUCCACCGUGGAGCCCGGUCCCUUCGGUCCUCUAGAACGAGGCAUAAUUCCAAUUUUCAAAAUGACUAUUUUACCCUCAGAUGAUUCGAAGGAGCUCGGAAACGCCAGCUCUUUGUCCGGGGGUGUAACUGUAAUUAUGAUCCGCACAAGGACCUUUUUUUUGUUUUUUUGAAUUUUAAAAAUGCUACGAGUGUACAAGGCUCACCUGUGCGUCACGUGCGGUGCACGUGACGAGCAUUCAAGAUGUACGGGCGCAGGCAUAAAAGCUCACGUGACACCGACGUGGAAACCCCACGCGUGGGGCCCACGAGUAAGAAGUCAACAGGAUAAGGCAUCUUUACAAAGAGCACAAUUUUAAGAUUAUGCCAUUUUGCUCUACUAAAAUUACUAUAUAUAUAUAUAAUAUAUAUAUAUAUAUUAUAAAUAUAAUAUAUUAUAUAUAUAUAAUGUUUAAAAAAAAAAUAAAUUGCUUAUAUGUUCGUAAUUGUAAAUGCUCCUAAAAUUAAUAGUAUUCGAAUACUAUUAAUUUUAUUAUAUUUUAAUUUAAUUAUGGAAAUUAAAAUUUUAAAUUAUGACUAAUUCAGUAUCUUUGGUGAAUAAUAAUCAACUGUUUGAGUAAUAAUUGUCAAGAAAAUUAUAGACUUUAAAGUUAUAUUAGAAUGCUAUUAAUGGCAUUAAACUUUUCUUACUAUAAAUUUAAUUUUUAAUUAAAAUAAAUUUUAUAAUUUUAUAAUUUUUAAUAAUUCGAGCACAUGAAAUGAAAUCAAUAGAACUAAGAAAAUGACAUAGUUUACUUUAGGCUUAAUAUUACUUUACUACAUUAUAUUUUAUAUUUUUUUCUUUACUUUCUACACUAUUAAUUUUUUUGCAAAAAAAAAUCAUUGUAUUAUUAUUUUAUCAGUAUAUUUGUAUUUUUUAUUUUGUAUUAUUUUUAUUUCUUAUAAAUAUCAUUAAAUUAGUUUUUUCACCAAUCCCACUAAUAAAUCUGUAUUACUAUUAAUAAAUCUAUUAUUUUAUAAACAAAUCCAACAAUUUUAUUAACAACAUCGACUGAAUGAUGGGAAAAUAUAAAAUGCUUCUCAAUCUUUUGUCAUACCUCGAGAAGUAGAAAGAAUUACGAUUCCAAUUCCACCUAAAAUCUUAAAAAUUCGUUAAAAAAUAGAAUAAAUUUGUAAGUAGGACCAGCUUUAUGACAGACUCAUUGAGAAAUUUAUUAAGUUAUUUUUAACUUUUUUUGUUGAUUUAAUAUAUUUUAUUUUUCACAUCAAAAUAAGUUGAAUUUAUACUCCAUCAUUUUCAAUCAAUAUUUUUUAAUAGUAUUUAUUUAAACGUAAAAUUUUAUUAAUUAUAGUGUAUAUAAUUUGAAAAAGAAAAAGAUAGUUUUGAAAAAAAUAGUGUAGCGUCGAAACUAAAAAAGUUUUAUAAAUUACGGUGCAAUAUGGAAUAAUUAAGCUAACUUAACUAUAUAUUAUAUUAUAUGUACCGAGCUACUACAUUUUUUAACCCUUAGAUUAAGAAUUAUAAGGUUGGGGUAAAAGUGGCCUGCCCUACGAUUGAAUAAUUUUUUUAAAGUUGACUGAUCCCCACAGAAUAAUAAUAUUAAUUUAAUUAAAAAUUAUAAAUGAUCAAAAAAAUUAAUUUAAAGCCAAAAAAUAAAAAUAUUAAUUUCUUUAUAUUUUCGAACUUAUAGUAGUUUUAUUUUUAUACUAUUUUUUUUUUAGAGAUAAAUAACACGCUACUUGUUUCGUUUAUUUUAUUUAAAAAUAAACUUAGCAAGAAAUGUGAAUCAAUUAAGAUUCGAAUUUGAGUUUCGGAUAUCAACCAUCGUACCUUUUGACAUUUGCUCUAGGACUGUCCGUUACUCUUAUACUAUUAUGUUGUUAUUAUUAUUUUGGAAGAUGCUAUGCGAUAUUUUGCAUGGAUGAAUGGAUUAAAAAAAACAAAAAAAAAAAAAAAGCCAUAACGCAAAACGUGAACCCGACACUGCGCCGAGUGGCGACCAGGUGAUCUGCGCCUUGAUAGUCGGGCUGUGUACCACGUGUCGCGCAGUGGCGCCGCGAUGGUCGGCCUCCGGGGACCCACCUCGUCGUGCCCCGGAGUCCAAGCACUGUCGCCGCACCUCUAUUCGACUAAAGGUCGAAAAUUUAUAAAUACAGAGAUAUUUAGAGUUUUGCUAGAAUACUAUAAGUAAUAAACGCGUCGUUUUACUACUUAUUUAUUUUCGAUGAUAGAGAUUCUAAAUUGACGAUCAGUUUUGUUGAACAUGAUCUAUACUACUUGAAGUGUUUAGAAAUCAAAUUUCAAAUCUUUUCGACAUCAUUUGCCUAAUGAGUAAAGGGUUUUAAAAUUUGUAAUUUUAAUGGUCAAUAAGAGACGUUUUCUCAUUUAACGACGUAAAGAUAUUCAAAUCAAUUGAAUUUUUGUUCGAAAAUUCUUUAAACUAUUUAAAACAAGAUCUAUACUCUUGAUCUUGAUUCUAAGACUUCUAUCAUCAUUUUUUAAAGAAUAUUUAUUUUCAGCCAUUCAUUUUUCUGUUCACUUGAUGGAUAAAAGAACAAUAUCGAAAGUACGUGAAAUUUGAUUUCUAGAUAGUUUAAAUGGUUUAGAUCAUAUUUAACGGAGCCGAUCGUCAAUUUGGAAUCUCUAUCAUCGAAAACAAAUAGAUAGUAAAACGGCUCCUUUACUACUGAUGGUAUUCUAGCUCAACUCGAGAUAUCUAAAUUAUUCAUAAGAAUAUAAUAGUCCAAAUCUAUAUAUACAUAUAAAUACAAAAAAUCUAUAUUAUUUAUAAAAAUAUAAUAGUCCAUAGAUUAAAUAUAUAUAUAUAUAUAUAUAUAUAUAUAUAGAAUUGAGCUCCUAUGCUUUUAAAAGUACCAAGUUAUUGGUACUUGUAGAUUUUUAGCCGUUGGAUUAAGGGAUGUGCGGUUAGGAUAAUGUGAGCCUCCUAGGGUUGAGUGGGUGGUUGGUUAAAUAGUAUAAUCUAGCAGUUAAAAAUGAUCAGAGGAGUAAAUCUAAUGGUAAAAAAUUUACAAGCACCAAAUGCUUGGUGCUUUUACAAGCACCAUAGCCGAACUCUCUCUCUCUCUCUCUCUCUCUCUCGCUAUAUAUAUAUAUAUAUAGAGUAGGGCUAGAAUACUUUUACAAGUAUCACCCAAGUGAUACUUGUGUGUUUUUAGCCAUUGGAUCUACUUUUUGAUUACUAAUAGUCCUUGGAUCAAACACUAUUCCACCUACCACCAUCAUCUCAACCUCACAUCUCUCCAUCCAAGGGCUAAAAACACACAAGUAUCACUUGGGUAAUACUUUUACAAAUAUUCUAGCUCUACUCUCUCUUUCUCUCUCUCUCUCUCUCUCUCUCUCUCUCUCUAUAUAUAUAUAUAUAUAUGUAUAAUUGAGUUGCUAUAUUUUUAGAAAUAUCAAGUCAUUGGUACUUAUAGGUCUUCAGUUUUUAAAUUAAUAAUGUGCCUUUAGGAUGAUAGUGGUCUUAUAAAUUUGAGUAGGUGCGUGGUUGAUUAACUAGUAAUAUCCAACUGGUAAAAAUAGUUAAAAGAGUAGAUCUAACAGUGAAAAAUUUAUAAGCACCAGAUAUUUGAUGCUUGUAAAAGCACCGUAAUGGAAUUCUCCCCAUAUAUAAAUAUAUAUUUUCUUAGUAGGUGGGAUGUGAUUUAAAAAUGUGAUAAUUUUGUGUCGGUGUUAGCGGAAAAAUGGAGUUAAGAAGUGCUAAAACUGAUGGCUGUUGUCAAUAUCUUGAAACCUGGGUUUUGAAUUCUAGCUAGUUAACUUUUAUGGUACCCAAAAUAUGAGUUGAGCUAGAAUACUAUUGAUAGCAAACGGGUUACGUUGCUACCUAUUUGUUUUUGAUGAUAGAGCCUCAAAAUUGACGAUCGGCAUCGUUGAACAUGAUCUAUACCACUUGAAGUGUCUAGAAAUCAAAUUUCAAAUCUUUUCAAUAUCAUUUGCCUAAUGAUCAAAGGGUUUCAAAAUUUGUAAUUUUAAUGGUCGAUAUAUGGCACUUUCUCGUUUAACGGCGUAAAGAUAUUCAAAUCAAUUGAAUUUUUGUUAGAAAAUUAUUUAAACUAUUUAAAACAAGAUCCAUACUCUUGAUCUUGACUACAAGACUCCUAUCAUCAUUUUUUAAAGAAUAUUCAUUUUUAGCCAUUCAUUUUUGUGUCCACUCGAUGGAUAAGAGAAUAAUAUCGAAAACGUAUAAAAUUCGAUUUCUAAACACUUCAAGUGAUAUAGAUCAUGUUCAACGAUGCCGAUUGUCAAUUUGGAGGCUCCAUAAUAAAAAAUAAAUAGAUGGCAACGGAGCCCGUUUGCUACUGAUAGUAUUCUAGCUCAACUCCCCAAAAUAUAUAUCCCUCCUAUAUAAACGUAAACUUAAUUUUCCAUAAUUUUAAGCACUCGCCUUGAUUCUAUUUUUAUUUUUCUUUUCGUUACAGCUAUUUCUAACAAUAAGUUAAAAGUUUUGAGUAUUUAUUGAAAGGAGUUUCUAAAUUCAAAUAGCAGAAACUCAUGUACUCAAAAUGAAAGUUCUAAAUUUUAUAAACAACACUUCAUCUAAUUGCAUCUUAUCGAACUCGUCUAUAUAUACUAUAGCAUCCGACAAAUAGAAAAGUUAGCUAGUUUUGCUAUAGCAACAAAAAAUAAAAAACAAAACAUAAAACCGUAGGCUCAAAGACAAUUACUGUAUGAUAUUUCUCCAUGUAGUAGUACAUUAUUGAGAGGCCAAAUAAGUUCAAGACAAUAUUGGAAAUAUUUUUUUAGUUGUAACCAUAUAUAUAUAUAUUAGAGAACUAGAAGCAACUUAAUUUUUAAUUUAUUUGUAUUUUACUUGGAAGGUCUCCCCGCAACUAAACAUUCAACCCCAAAUUAUUCCACGAAAUCAUGGGAUGACACAUGUUAGCAGUUUAUUUGUUUUGACUUUUUUGGCAUAAGAUAUAUUAUUAUUAUAUGUAUAAUGUGGCUCGUUUCUUAGCUUUGAAAUUAAAAAAGCACUGCAUCAGCAAUAUUCUAAACGCGUAAUUCUUUUUGUACUUGUUUAAUGCUACUGACACAGUGAAAUUAAUGUUGUGUAUUUUAAUUUACGUGUUUAGUGAUAGUACCACGAUAGAAGGAUCAUAAUGUUAAUACGUGUAUCUAUAAAUAUACUAAUAUGAAGUAUAUUUAAAGCGAUUUUGAAUGCAUGGAUGCUUCCGCUUAAUUUGAUCGACUUUUUGUUUUAGUGACUAAUUAGCAACAAUGUUGAUGUGCAUUAGUCAAAUUUAUACACAUCUUGAACCCGAUAACUGCAUUGUGUGCAAAUCUGAAAGAAUGUAUAAUGUGCUAAAAGACGAAGCAAAAAGAUUGUCCAUGAUGACAUAUAAAAGGUUAUGCAAUUAAAUAGUAGAUGUAAAAACUAUAUAAACUCGUACCAAUAAGAGUAUGUAAUAAUUAAUAUGUCGCAUGAAGCACAUGAUAUUUAGAUGGUUAUAUAUGAUAAUUCCUACAUAGCUUGAUAUUUGUAAAUGCACUUGUUGUAUCCCUUCCUACCACCUAAGCUCUAGAGAAUGGGUUGCAUAUAUGUAUGUCGCCAAAGAUAUACGUAGAUCUUUUUGGUAAAAAGUUCAAUCUAAAUUAUUCAUCAGUAUAAAAAUUCAAAAAAUAAAUUAAUGAGAUAAAAAUACAUUAUUAAAAUGAAAUUUUAAAUAAUGUUUGGGCACUACAUAUGGAGUGGCACAGGAACAGCCGUGUCCUACAAGGUGUUGAACUGUGAAUGCCGUUUCUCACUCCAUUCCAUUCUCAAAUGAAGCAUUAUUUAAAACGACUUUUAGGAAGUUUCUUCCCAUUCCCAUCUUAGGACCUUUUUUUUCUUUUUUUCUUUUUUGCUUCAACUAUAAUCAUCUGUGACAACUCAGUAGAUUAAAAAAAAAAAAUCAAAAUUAAAAGUUUACUGCAAAAAUAAUCUUUAAUUUCGUACUUCUAUUUUUUACUUUCUGAUUAAAUAAUUUUAACAUAAUCUUUUUUAAAAAUAUUAUUUUAUUUAAUAGCACAAUAUAUUACAGUAAGGCCUAACAAAUAGAAGAAUCUUCUUAAUAACUUUACUAUAAUCUCUAUCAUCAACUAGAAUAAUCUAAAUUAAUAUAUAUAUAUAUAUAUAUAUAUAUAUAUAUAUAUAUAUAUAUAUAUAUAUAUANAUAUAUAUAUAUAUAUAUAUAUAUAUAUAUAUAUUUCAAAGAAUUAUUUUAAUAUAUAAUUAUCAUAUAUUUUUUUUAUUAGACUGUGUAAUCUUAUAUGAGACAAUUGUAAUUAGUUUGAGAUAUAUUCUAUAUAGUGUAUCUGCUACAGUGCUACGUAUACACACUAAAAUAAAAUAUUUAUGGUCAAAAAAGAAAAAAAAAAGAAAAAGAAAAAGAAAAAGAAACGUGUGGUAAAGUGGGCUGGGCCGGUUUUGUGGAGCGAUAAGUGGGCACGUGCGGUGGGCCCCUACCACCGACAGGGCCCUUUGACUCUUUGACCGAGUCGAAGUCGCUGAGUCGGAAUCGAAUCGGAAUCUAAUCAAACAAACCAUGUGCGCCCUCGCCCUCUUCGUGUCCGUGAGUCCGUUACAUGCGGUAUCCACGUGGCACACUUAGGACGCGCCGAAGCACGUGCGGUGUCUUUUUUUUUUUAUUUAUUCCCAAGCAUUCGGCGCGCGUGCGGUGUUGGAUGGGGUCGAACGCGUUCGGUGUUUUGGGCUCGUUGCGUUUGUUGUGUUGGGCUCGGCCGGGUUAACACGCGUUUUCAAGUAGACAUACAUAGCGAGUCAAAUGAGAAAUUCUAUUACGUUAUUAGAGAGAUUAAAAGUGUGCUUCAAAAUAAGUUUCUAUAAUAAAACAUUUCUUACGAAUCAACAAUCAACUCCGUUAAAUAUAUUUUACCCUGUUAAAAAUAUUUAUAAACAAAAUUUUAUAAUUUUUCAAUAUUAUUAUCUAAUAAGUAAAUGUUUUCAAAAUAAAUAACUGAAAAUUAAAAAUUUAUAAAAAUUGGUGAUAGAAGAUUUAAAUUUCAUAUUAAAAUUACUGGCCAUGCUUUAUAUAGUGCAAAAAUAUUUCUAUCAACUUCUUACCUGAUUUGAAUUAUUCUACACAAUUUUUUCUUUUUGAGAAUAGGUAGCACGCUACCUGCUUCAUUCAUUGAAAAUAUGAAUUAAGCUAUAGAGGUGAGGCAACCAGAGCCUCGAGAAAAAAAAAGAAAAAAAAAAAGAUCAUCGAAGAACGUCUUUCCAAUAAUCAACCAGCUGCUUGAGCCUUCGCACCGCUAAUACGGGGUCAAACUGAAUGCUACGAAAGAUAAAGUUGUUUCUGGCUUUCCAAAUGAUCCAUGAGCAUGCAGCCAAAUCAGUUAUUCUACACAAUUAAACUUACAAACAUCGCACAUCAGCUUCACAAAUUUCUAUCCUUUGAUUCAUAUCUAAUGAAACCGAUCGUUGAUUCGAAUAUCUUAUUGUCGAAAAUAAUAUGGAAGCACGAAAACCUCCGCACUUCCAAAAAUAUCUCUAAAAGACUAUUUCAUAGAGUUAAAGGUAGGCCAGCAUAAUGAGGCCCAUGUUAAAUAAACAAAUUCGCACAGAUGUGCAAAAUAAAAAUGAAAAAAAAAGUAAAAUUGGAAUCACAAUAAUUGACAUUAAUUUCCCGUACCAAACAUAAUAUUUAUAUUUACAUGAGUGCACCAGAAGUGUGCUCAACAUGUUCCAGUUUUCCUCUCGACCUUUAUUGCUUCAUAAGAUGUCAUAACUUCUUUAAAUUUAGCCUCAGCAGCUUCUGCAGCAUAAAUAAAUCCAUCUCAUAAAGCAAACAAACUACUCCUUAUUUCUGAACCCCUGACAUAAAUGUAGAGUGCGACAAAUUCGGAUCAGAAGAAAGGAUUAUUUACCUUUAUUGUUCUGGUUUUGAUCUGGAUGGUACUCCAUUGCUUUUUGCCUAAAAGCAUUCUAUAGUCCAAAUGAAAAAAAAAGUAAAUAAGGUGCAAUAAGAAGAAAGUAAUUUAGACACAGUUAUUAAAACACAUACUUUAAUCUCAGCAUCUGAGUAUGGUGUCGAUCUCGACCUAUAACAUAAGUCACUAAGAUGACAAUGCAAACAAAAACGAAAAUGCAGUACAUGUUUAAUCAUAUAGAAUAAGAAUCAGAUUUAUACCUAUCGAGGCCCAAGACGGAAUAGUGAUGGGACAUUAAGUAAUUACUGCUUCCGCCAAUGGUUGAUCUGGAGUUUGUUCUUUGAUCCCCGUAAAAUGUUUCAGACUUCCAGUACCAGUCAUCUCUUGGAAAAUGUUGAUAAGUGCCAGGCCCGUAAUCUCUCCAAGUCUCGUAGCUCUGCUUAGAUUUAGUUCGCUCUCUGUUGAAUACACUUUGCAUGCGCUUUAUGCGCUCCUACAAAAGGAACUAGUAUUGGUGUAGAUUAGUUGAUAUACUGGACCAUUAAAUGAUCAUUUCGCAAACUUAAGGAUCAUGCAAGUGAAAGUAACGGUACUCGGACAUUCGCAAUAAUUUAAACACAUACAAGAAAAAAGUAUUACAGAGGAAAGAAUAAAGCAGCUGAAAUUGAAAUGUUAAAUUAUUGUACAGUUUAAGACAGUAAGUCAAAGCAACGCUGAUACUAUUUUAUGCAAUCCUAGAUCCAAGGAUGAAACCUAUAUGUCAGGAGAAGAGUGCACAUAAGUCAAUCAACAAACAGGUAGAAUGUAUUUAGAUGCAGUAGUAUACCAAUUCAUAAAAAAAAGGAGCAAGUAGAAAAGAUGUUCCAAAUAAUCAUCUUCCAAAAAUUGAUUUCUGCAAAACAGUUAGCUUAACUGCAGCAAGGAAUAUGCACUUCCAAGUGUUUUAUAAAAGCAUCUUUUGAUUUGAAAGAGAGAAGAUAAAGAGAACCACACAGAGAAGAACAAGAAGUAGAGAGAAUUAGAAGAGGAAACAAGAGAUGAAGUAAUAAGCACAACUUGUUUGACAACAUAAAACAAAAAGUUGGUAGUAACUUUAUUUUUCUUCUUUGAUUUUGCGAAGAUGUUAUCCCAUAGCCAGCUGGGGUGCGUUCAAGCUAACAAACGACAAGAUAGAGAAGUACAUCCACAAAACAUCCAAUAACAUAAACUUUGUGUUUAAAAAAAAACACCAAAAAAUGGCAGCAGUACCAAACAAGGCCUUAGCGCUCAAUAUUUUCAAAAAGAAGCUCGCAAAGGCAUCAAUGUCACUAACAAGAAGUCACUGGAGUUCAUUUUAUCUUAGAAAGGCAAUAAGCAGCAAAUAACUGACCACUCUCUCCCUUUCAUCCUCUUUCAUCUCUUGCACUCGGCGGUAAUAUCUUCUCCGAGCCUCCUGCCCAUGAUAUGAGCUGCGAGUCCCGCUGCCCCAAGAAUAAUAUGAUUCGGACCUAUAAAGCUUCAAGGAAAUUAAAAUCUUCAAUAAAACUACAAAUCAUGAUACAGUUUUGCAAAGCACUUUAUACACUGCCUUAGGCAAGUAUAUAACACCAUCCACAAACUACAGCAGGAGGCAUUUGGAAACAUGUGAAAUGCAGCCAAACCAAACAAGUUUAAAAAUAUCACCAUCAAUAUACUUGGUGGCAUAUUCAAAUGCAUAUAAAAGCUACAAUCCUUCCAAAUCUCAUGCUGCUAAGAUGAUUGCUCGACUCUAAAUAAAAGCAGUAGAUCUUAGAUGUAAUCCUCAUGCAUGUACUUACUUUCUGAUAGCAUUGUUUGCAACAAAUGAUUAAGAAAACAGAACAAUAUUCCUUCAACAUCAACAUAUUUGCAGGAUGCAUUAACAAUAACCUGUUUGUACCUGAGAGUAGAACCAAUUAACGGUCCUGCGCAACUGACCAACCUGCCAAGAUGAGAAAAAAAUAAUGGGUAGGAAUAUGUUGGAGAACAAAACAUAAGAGACAUAUGUUACAAAAUAAACACUACAAACAACACAUUUUAAUGCGCAUUACCGGAUUAUGCUUCUCUAUAACAAAAUUCUAUGUACUUAAAUCAAUACAAAAAUUCAAUGCAUCUCUUCUUGCAUUCUUCUUUCGGUACAUUAAAAAAAACUCAUAUAGUUUCUCCAACAAUAAAUUUCGCUUCUUGAAGACGGAGACGAAGUUGACAAAACUAACAUUUUAGCACAUCAAACAACAACAGCAAGAGCAUGCACAGCUCACAUACAAAUUUUUGGUAGGAUGUUUGAUUAAGUUAAGUUGAAUCUAAAUUCUCAGUAUCGAUCGAAUUAGCUACUGCUACAAAGACAAAAUGCUUGUCCCUCUCUACUAGUAUCAGUUAAUCUAGGCAAUUAGUGAAAAAAAAGCAAGCUUUUUCCCGUUCUUUAACACAAUUCGGCGGCCGACUCCGACUUCGCACAGAGAAACUCCUACAUCCCCAUAUCGACAUCUAAACCAAAAAACUACUCAAACAACAGAAUUCGGCGCCGAAGCACCGUUCUACGCCAACUACCCAUCACCGAAGUCGGCAAAAAGGAGACCUUUAGGUGCCGACUACGCCUGUAACACGACGGCGAAGAACCCUAGACAUCGAAUAUCCGCAUAAUGAUAGGGAUUAGUACAAAACAUGGCGAAUUGAACACGAAAUUAGGGGGAAAAAAAGGGAUUUGAUUGGGUUUGGGGGUGUUCAAAAGGGAAAACGGAAUUGGAUCGGAAAUGGAUCGGAAACAAGAGUGCUUACGGCGACGGUGGUGGCGGUGGCGCCGAUGAGGGCGUAGAGGAGGAUGCCGAGGGGCAUGGAGCCGUCGUCCCUGUCCUGUCGCCAUGGAUUCGGUGGCUCCUCGCUCUUCCGAUCGGAGGGCUUCAUGGUUCAUCCCCUCUUCGUCUUCGUCUUCGUCUUCGUCGUCUAUGAAGGUGGUUUUGGGGAUCUCGAGCUCGCCAUGGGAGUGGGCGAGGAAAGAGGAAAGGUAAAAUGCGAUCGACUGGGUUCGGGAAAUGAUUUUUAUUUUAAAAUGCUUUUUUUUUUUAUAUACAAAAACUUAUACAUAACAUAAGCUUUCAAUUUACUUUAAUUAAUAAUCCCAUCAUAAGUUCUACAGCUAAUUAUAACCGUUAAUAAUAAUAUUUUCAUUAAUCUAAUGUUGUUAUUGAUUUAUUAUUAUGGUUACCAUCGAUUAUAGAAGGCCUUUAUAUUAUUCCGAAGACGGGCCCUUAAUGCAAUCUAAAACAUGGGCCCAUGAGGCCCAUUUUGCAAAACAUGGGCCCUUUGGGCUCUAAACAAAUCAAUAAUGGUAAAGAGGCUUAGGACAUCUUUCGUCUCAGUAAUGAUCGAAGGAAUGAAUAGUAAAAUUGCUUUAGAAAGUAUUUUAGAAUUACAUUUCUUUAUGUAAUUACAUUUCGUUAUGUCCUCUCCCAUUAAUGCCAAACAUGGCCUAAUUAUUCCGAGCUUUAUAUUAAUUAAAGAGCUCAGAUCCAACCAAAAAACCCUAAUUUUAUAGGUGGAAAUAUUUUGUAGUCUAAUUUGCGUCUGGUUUGGAGCCGCUAACAUUCUUAACAUGCUAAACGAUAUGUGUGUGCACAAACUCAAUGCAGUGCCAUAGGAAUUGGACAAAACUGACUCAAGUACAUAACUAAGGCUUUGUUUGGAUUGCGAAAAGACUACGGUUUAGUUUGGUAUUGAGGUCCAUCCAACGUUAUUAGAUACAAUGAAAUUAGGAUAAUAGCGUAUUGAGAUAUGUUUCUGAGUUCUUCUGUGAGACAGUAAAAAAUAUAUCGUAAUCAACUGAUCACGAUAUCCGAAAAGCAAUAUUAUGUACGGAAAUAAAUAAAAUAUUUUUUCAUCGUACUUUCUUACCGUAAGUAACACAAUUUUUCUGCAAUCCCAAUCCCAAACGAUGCCUACGUUACUUGCCGUACAUGUUUGUUUCCGUACGUAAUAUUGUUUGUCGCAUAUUAUAAUGCGUCGGUUACGAUAUAUUUUCUACAGUCUCACCGGAGAACGCAAAAAUAUAUCACUAGUGCUUUCAUCCCAAUUCGCGUCAGAUGAGCCUUAAUAUCAAACUAAGUCUAAAUCGAUUUAUUUUUAUUAGUUUGUUACACUUCGUAGGUCCAAACAUGAAACGUAAUCAACGGGAGCUUUACAUUUGUUUUGCCGCUGUAAUACGCCAACCAAUAUUACUAGCUAGAUUAGUAUUCCAAAUCCUCUCACUUUGGAAUUAAUUAAAAAAGAUUAUCCCAACCCACGUUGCUGCGCCUUAAACAAUAAGGCAUUCACAUGUGUAUCAUCUUGUACUUUUCUCGACAUCUUUUGCUUUUCUCAAUUAAUUAGCGAGACCAUGUCACAUCUAAAAUGACUCAUUCAUUACAUUACUAGAAGCUUUAUACUCUACUCCCGUCAUUCACGGACUCGUCCACGAAUUUCCCUCUUAUGAUCGCCAAUAAAUUAAUCCUUCUAUGCCCAAGUGUGAUUAAACGAUCUUAUUCACUACAUAGUUUAUGUAUUUUGUGUAAAAGAAGAUGCAUGCACGGUAGGGCACCAAAGCAUAUGCUUUUGACAAACUCAGUCAAACCAUUUUUUCCACACAAAAUGCAAUGACCCAAUUCAUGGUCGAUAAUUCCAUGGUAAUAAUCCGAAUUUUUUCAAAGUGUUUUACCUAAUUCUUAUCUCAAGCCAAAAAAAUAAAGAUAUAAAUAAAUAAAUUCAUCUAUUUUUAUUCCACAAACGUAGUCCAAACGCCAUUUCGAUUCUUUCGAUAUAUAAUUUAUAUUAUUCCUCAUCACAUGCAUUGGACAAAUUCAAUUAAUCUCCCUUAUCUUUUUGGCAAGUAAAUCCCCUAAAAUCCCCUAAGUAAUCAUUUUUCCAAGCAAAUUUACACCUUUUCCUACGUCUCAUCGUGUAUUCGUGUAUAUAUAUGCCCCAUCAUUUAGCACCUCUUCACCCACAAAAUAUAUAGAAGGUAAGAAAAUUAGGAUAAAUUCUAUACUUCAAAAUAUGGAGUCAUUUAACGUGUCCUUUGCUAUGCUUUGUGCCGUGUUACUAUGCAUGGCCCAUGCAACGCGCGGCCAAAACUCCCCGCAGGACUACGUGGACGCCCACAACGCGGCGCGCGCCGCCGUCGGCGUCGGCCCCGUCACGUGGGACGACACGGUGGCGGCCUACGCGCAGAACUAUGCGAAUGAGCGAAUCGGCGAUUGCCAGCUGGUCCACUCCGGCGGCCCCUACGGCGAGAACCUGUUUGAAGGGUUCGGGGCCGACUACACGGCGGCGGACGCCGUCAAUGACUGGGUGUCGGAGAAGCAGUACUACGACCACGCGACGAACACCUGCGCACAGGGGCAAGAGUGCGGGCACUACACGCAGGUCGUGUGGCGCGACUCGACUACGAUUGGGUGCGCGCGCGUGGUGUGCAACAACGGCUGGAUAUUCAUCACCUGCAACUAUAACCCUCCGGGGAACAUUGUCGGUCAAAGUCCUUACUGAGGAGGGCUAAAUAUAUUUUUUUUAAAAAAGAUAUAUAUUAUAAUAAUGAAUAAUGAGUGUAAGCACUACUAUCUCCUUUGUAGUAAUUAAGUAUAUAUUGGGAAUAAGAUCAAAUUCGCGAAUUUUUGAAAUUCCGAAUAAAACAUCCAUUUUCAAAUUUUUGAGAAAAAUUUGAAAAAAAUCGCGUUUUAUUGGAUAAAAGUAAUUAUUCGCGAAUUAAACGGGUUCGCGAAUAAUUCGGCUCAAAAAAACGUCGCCGUUGCUGCGACUGCGAUGCUGCGACUGCGAUGCGGUCGCGGGCCUCGUGCAUGGCCCAAAACAGAAAAGAGUUCGCCUCUCAAAAAAAAAAAAAAAAAAAAAAAAAAACCUUCUCUGAAAUCGCCCUCUCCCAAUCUCCCAAACUCCCACCCCCACCCCCAUCCCCACCCCUCCCAAAAAAGGGUUUGCCCUAAGUUCUCACCCCUGCGGCGGUGCGGCCCUGCCACCGACCCCUGCGGCGGUCGCGGCCCUUCCCCUCCCCCUCUUCCCUUCCGGCCGCUCGCCGAACGCCAUCGGAAGCCCUCCUCUUCAGAAAUCGAAGAUCGAAGAUCGAGUUCUUCACUCUUCAGAAAUCGAAACCCUCCUCGUCGCCUCUUCCUCUUCCGCUUCCGCUAUCCAACGAUAUAUAGAUCAGUAAUAAGGUGGUUCUUUACAAACCAAGUACGAUUUGAGUUUUCAUUCUUUAAAGCAAAAGUUGGAAGCUUUUAGUCCAUCUGAUGGAUACUUUUUUAUACACAAAUGGCUCGAGUGCUUAAAUUGAAUGUGUCCAUUCUCUGUUAUGCACCUUAAAUUGUUAAGAACUUAAGACCCAAACAUAGAGCUAAAUAAUGUUAAUUAACCUAGGGACCAGGAACUCUUGUAUUAUACCUAAUCAAUUUCAUGAUCUUGUCGACACUUGCAAAAGGAAAAUUUUGUUGUGGUCUUUCAUGGAAAAUUUUGUUGUGGUUAAAUCAAGAGUCGGAGUUCGCUGAUUAUAAUUACUAAAACUUUCUGCGUCUGUAUGCUCUAUAUUUAUUCAAGCUUUUAUGUAUGUUUAUAUGUGGAAUUAUGAAUUUUAUGUAUCUUUUAUUUGUUUAUUGUUUAGACUUUAGAAUUUAGAUAUGCUAGUAUGCUGUUAUGCACUAUGCAAAGUGCCUGUUUCAUCUUGGAUUUAAUUUCUAACUAUACUUGUAUGUGAAUCUUUUAUAUUUUACAUUUAAAUAUGGACUAUCUUGAUCUCUUAUUUGCUUAAUUAAUUAUUUUUUUUAGGCAUAAUAUAGUUUAUUAUUUUUUUAAUUUAAUUUUGUAGCUCUUUAUUCUUAUAUUAUUAAAAAAUAUGAAUAUUUAUGCUAAUAGCAUAAAUCUUGAGAGGAAAAAAAUUUAAUUUAAUAGCCGAAUUUUUUAUCCUGAAUUUUUAAUUGGUGAACGUAUAAUAUCCGUAUAAAUUAUGUAUCCGAAUAAUUGACUAAUCCGUUUUUUAGCUGAUUUUUUCAACGAAUUUAAAAAUUAGAAGACGAAUUUUAUCCGAAUUAUACCCGUACCGAAUUUUUGCCGAAUCCGAAUUAACUAACUAUGCCCAUAACACGUUUAAGAGCUCGUAGCUAGAUAAAUUUUUUGAGAGCUCCUGGAUGAUUAUUGUUAAUUUUUUUUUUCAAAUGGAUGUUUGUGGCUUAAUUUGUAUUUUUUUUCUUUAAUAUUGAGGUGAGCAAAAUAAUUAUUUGUGAAGCUUUGUCACGAUGAGGUGAUCUAAGAGAGAUAAUAUUAAUAUAAUAAAAAUAUCUCAUAAACAAAUUAAAAUCAAAUCAAUCUAUAGAGGUCAACAAGGUAAGUUUAGAUCGGAUUUGGUUAUUUUUUGAGUCAGAUCAGAUCAGUCAAGUCAAUUAGGUCGGAUUAUAGUUUAACCAUCAAACUCAUGAGUUCUUGUACCGGUUAUUAAAGCACUUUGUGGGAUUGAAAUAUCACUGAAGCUGCAAAUUAAGAUAAUUAGUUUGACUUAAUUUAGAAGCUCUCCAAAGGGUUGUUCUGUUUCUCAAAAAAACGUGAAAAAAAUUAUUUUAAGAAAACAAAUUGUCACAAAAACUCCAUUUUCAAAUUUUCAUCCGUCAAAGAAAGUAAAUAUUUUUUUUGAGAAAAAAAUAGCAAGCUGCCUGCAUCAUUUAUAAAGUAAGAUGAAUUAAGUGAAAAGGGUGGAAGCAACUCCGAAAGCAGAGAAAGGUAAAUAUCGUGAAAGUUAAAAGUAAAAGAAAGUAAAAGAAAAAAAAAAAAAGUGGGAAAAGAGUAGCAAAGGAAGGAGCUUGGUCAAUAAAGUAAGAUCCAAUCACUCAUCAAUUUGUUGAUGCGUUCAAAUGAGCGGGCUGUGUUGGGGGGUGCGGUCCGAAAGAUAGCCGAGAUUUUAUUUGUCCAAACAACUCACCAGAUUACUGCCAGGUGGGUUAAGUCUUUGGAUUUUAUCGUGGCGUCGGGAGUUUUAGAUAUUUUGGACCAAAGCUCACAAACGUCCCUAGGGGUAUCAGCAAGUGCUUCGAAACCUGCCACAAAAAGUAGGAGGAAACGAACAAAAACACAGUUAUAGAAAAGAUGAUAACAGCUUUCCGAAAAUACCACGCAGAACAUGCAAUACGGAUCUACAGACAUGUCUCUGGAGAGCAAUCUGUCGACAGUGACUAGUCUCUUUUGUAACAACAACCAAAUGAGUACUUUGAUUUUGAUUGGUAAUUUCAACCUCUAGAACUGCUGGUCCAACUGGUCUCUUUGUCCGCCAUCAGUGAGGAACUGGUAUAGGAAUUUGACUGUAAACAGGUGGUUGGUGGUCCACCGCCAUUUGAACAAAUCCUGUCUGCUGUAGGGAUGACUACGUAGGACCAGGUUUUUGAAAAUUCUUUUUCUAUAUUUUAUGAAAAAUAGUUUUGUUUUUAUAAAAACGAAAAUACUAUUUAUUUAUAAAAUAUGAAAAAAAAAGUUUUUUUUUUUAUAAAAGCUUAUUUCUUUUUAGAACCAAGUAGAUCUAAAACUUUAAAAAACAGUUUUUGGAAAUUUUUUUAUAAAAGCUUUUUUCCACUCUUUUCCCACAUUUAGACCAAACACCCCCUAACUAAUUAUGCAGCAAAAAGAUGACAAAGACAAACACAAAUUUCUUUACCAAUCAAUUCAAGGCAUGUGCAAAAGAAUAUAUCAAGGAUAAGAUUAAUUCGAAUAUAUAUAUCAAGCCAAAAAAGUGAUCCCCAAAUAAUUAAUGAGCAUUCCAGUUGCACUUAAAAUUCAACUCUAAACUCCACGUAUAAAUCCACCCUACUCGCAUGCACUCCUCCAAACAACAACUGCAGAGAGAAAGAGAAAGAAAUCAUAUUUACAACAAUGGCUUUAGUUUCAUACUCUUUAGUUCUACUUCUCGUCUCCGCCGCGGCGAUGUUCGCGACCGGGUUCGCGCAGUACUCGCCCCAGGACUUCCUGAAACCACACAACGCCGCCCGCGCCAGCGUCGGCGUCGGCCCCUUGCGCUGGGACAACAAACUGGCGGCGUACGCGCAAAACUAUGCCAAUCGAAGGCGCGGAGACUGCAAGCUCAUCCAUUCGGGCGGGCCCUACGGUGAGAACCUCUUCUGGGGCUCGGGGAAAAAAUGGUCGGCCGCCAACGCAGUGGCGUCGUGGGUGGCGGAGAAGCGAUACUUCAACUACCGCAGCAACAAGUGCGCGCCGCCCGGGAAAGUUUGCGGGCACUACACGCAGGUGGUGUGGGCUAAGUCGGUGAGAGUCGGCUGCGCCGCCGUCACGUGCGACGACGGCGCUACGUUCAUCAUAUGCAGCUACGACCCGCGGGGAAACGUCCAGGGACAACGACCCUAUGAUGAUUUAGAUAUGGCAUGAAAUAAAUUAAACUACGUUAGUUAGCAUUCAAUAUUAACCGUAGUAAUUAAGUCAUGUUCUCAAAGACGCUUGAGCCUUCAUAGUUUAGUAUAAUAGAGCUCCCUUCGCAUGAGUUAAACUUAGUUAUGGUAGUUAUAUCCCAGCAUCAUAUGGAUGUGUAAUAAAAUGAGUUUGCACAAGAACCAGUGCUUUAGGUGCAAGACUCUUGAGGUUGAUGUGAUAAUGUGAUAUAAAUAAGCUUUGGAGUCCAAAACGUGUUUUCGUUGUAUUAGUUGUUGUUAUACUUAUAUUUGUUUCCACAAUAAUGUGUACAAAAUAAUUGUAUGUGGAGAGAGCUUUAAUAUCUAAUAAAAAAAUUAAUAUCAAAUCAAUCUAUAUUGGUUUACAAAGUUAAAAUUAAAAAUUAAAUCAUAGUAUGGAAGAGUUAAAUCGAAUCAAAUUAAACAUUUUAAUUUAUCUCUGCAAUUCAAACACUUAAUUUUUUAAAAAUAGUUUGUAUAAUAUAUCAAUCUGAAUAUUAGUUUAACUGAUUCAGUAUAUUAAGAUAGCUUUUUAACUGGACUACAUAAAUCAAAUAAUAAUUUACUGGAAAAUUUAAAAUGUUAUUUUGAAAAAAAAAAUAUCGUGGUAGAGAAUAAACCGAUAACUUUUUUUUUUUUGUUAACUGAAUGAACCAAUUCUUAAAAUAUUGUUGCUCUACCAUAUCAUGAUAAUGAACAUUAAUUUAUUCGAAAAUAAGAGCAACUCAAUUUAAUAUGCACGCAAAAGCUUACACGUUGAUAUGUAAAGCUACACAAUUACACAUGCAAUCAUCUAAUUAAUGCAUAUAUAGCUGUACUCUUAUCUUUGUAAUUAGAGAUGUAGUGCAAGCAAUAUUUCCGCAAAAUUCAUGUGGAUGAAUUCUAUGCAAGCUGCAAUAUUAAGAUAAUUGUUUGAUUAAUUUAGAGCUCCAAAAGGUUGUUCUGUUUCUCAAAAAAGUGAAAAAAAUUAUUUUAAGAAAACAAUUGUCACUAAACCAUUUUCAUUUUCAAUCCCGUCAAUAGAAGUAAAAUAUUUUUUUGAGAAAAAUAGCAAGCUGCUGAUAUUUAUAAGAGAUAAUGAUUAAGUAAAAGGGUUGGAAGCAACUCCGAAGCAGAGAAAGCGUAAAUAUCGUGAAGUUAAAGUAAAGAAAGUAAAAAAAAUGUGUGAGAGAAGGACUGCUAUCAUCCAACCGUAAAUUUUUGAUCCAAGGGCUAAAAAAUCGGAAGCAUCAAUUAUUUUAUACUUCGAUAGCAUAGUAGCUCUACAAUAUAUAUAUAUUAUAUAUAUAUAUAAUAUAUAUGUAGAGUCCGUACUAUACUAUUAUGAGUACGAUCGCCCUUGUACUCAUAAGUUGUUUUCGAUGAUAGAGCUUCCGAAUCGACGAUCCACACCGUUAAACGUUAUUUAGAGCAUUUGAAACAUCUAGAAAUCAAAUUUCAUAAUAUUUUCGACAUCAUUUACCUUACGAUCAAAAGCUCACAAAAUUGAUAAUUUUUAACGGCCGGUAUGGAAUACUUGCUAGUUUAACGGUGCAAAGAAAUCUGAAUAGGUUGAAUUUUUGAUAGAAAUUCUAUUCACUACCUAAAUAAAGAUCAAUAAUUUCGAUCUUAAAUGAAGAAUCCAAUCAUCCAUUUUUAAGACAUCGUUCGAUUUUGACCGUUCAUUUUAUGCUGCUUGCACUGGACUUUAUUAUGAUUUUGAAAAUUUACGAAAUUUAUUUUCUAAAAAUUUCAAAUACUCUAGAUCAUAUUUAACAGAGUGGAUUGUCGAUUCGGAAGCUUUAUCAUCGAAAACAACUUAUGAGUACUAAGGGCCCAAUACUCAUAAUAGUAUAGUAGCCCUACUCUCUCUCUCUCUCUCUCUCUCUAUAUAUAUAUAUAUAUAUAUGCAAACUUCUUUUAGAAUUUUGAAACCGUAUUUUCACUACAUAUAUAUGGCACAUAAAUAGGGCUCAUGAAUUGAAGUACCAAAAAUUUUGCCUUGCUAUUUAAAUUAUUAGUGUAAGAUCAGAUCGUUAAAAUACGUAGUUGGCUGGAGUCAUAUGUUUGGACCAACUUUUCAGACGAGAAAAUUUAGAUUGAAUUCGGUUAUUUUUUCGAGACAGAUCAUAUCAGUCAAUUAGGUCGGAUUGUAGUUCACCAUGAAACCCACGAGUUCUCAUACCAGUUAUUAAAGCACUUGGUGGGAUUUAAAUAUCACUGAAGCAGCAAAUUAAGAUAAUCGAUUUGACUUUAGAAGCUCGAUCCUUAACUCAUUAUGUACACGCUAACACAAUGUUUUUUACCAAUCAAUCCAAGGCAUGCGCAAGGAAUAUGUCAAGGAUAAGACUAGGAAUAUGUCAAAGCAAAAAAGUCAUCCCCAAAUAAAUAAUUAAUAAGCAUUAAUUCCAUUUGCACUUAUUUUAACUCUAAACUUCACGUAUAAAUCCAAACCCUACUCGCAUGCACUCCUCCAAACAACAACUGCAAAGAGAAGAGAAAGAGAUAGAGACAUAUUUAUCACAAUGUCUUUCGUUUCGUACUCUUUAGCUCUACUUCUCGUCUCCGCCGCGGCGAUUGUCGCAACCGGGCUCGCCCAGAACUCGCCCCAGGACUUCCUGAAACCGCACAACGCCGCCCGCACCAGCGUCGGCGUCGGCCCUUUGAGCUGGGACAACAACCUGGAGGCGUACGCGCAAAACUAUGCCAAUCAAAGGCGCGGAGACUGCAAACUCAUCCACUCUGGCGGGCCCUACGGCGAGAACCUCUUCUGGGGCUCCGGCAAAACAUGGACGGCCUCCGACGCAGUGGAGUUGUGGGUGGCGGAGAAGCAAUACUACGACUACCGCAGCAACACGUGCAUGUCCGGGAAAGUUUGCGGGCACUACACGCAGGUGGUGUGGGCUGACUCCAUGAGCGUCGGCUGCGCCACCGUCACAUGCAAUGACGGCGCUACGUUCAUCAUAUGCAGCUACAACCCGCCGGGCAACGUCCAGGGAGAAUGGCCCUAUGGCCAUUAGAGAUUGCAUAAAACAUUAUGAGUUUUGCUCUAGUGAAUAGGGCACUAAUAAUUGAACUAUGAGGUACUCAAUAUUAAUCAUACAUACGUCAUGCUCUGAAUGACACUCGAGCCUUCAUAGUUUAGUUUAUUAGAGCACACUUCGCAUGAGUUAAACUCGGUUACGGUAAUUAUCGCAGCAUCGAUCUUAUGUGCAAUAAAAUUGAGUUUGCACCAAAGGCCCAGUGCUUUUGGUGCAAGACUCUUGAGAUUGAUGUGAUAAAUAAGCGUUCGAGUCCAAAGCGUGUUUCCCUUGUAUUAGUUGUUGUUUAUCAUAUGUUGUUGUAGUAAUAUUUCUUUCCCGUGUAAUACUGUUGGUUUCCUUGCGUGUUUGUGUAAUCGUAUUGAUUAUUAAUCUUUUUCAACCCAUGUUAUUUAUGUUUUUUUAUUUAUCGGUGAAUUUCAGAAAUUUAAAUAAAUUAACUUUAUAAUGAUCUAGUCUUUUAAAUGUAAUUUUUUGGAGAAUUUGAUACUUUAUUUUGUUAUUACAUGGAAAAAUAGAUCCAUCACAGGUAUAUAUAAACACACACACACAUGACACAUAAAAGUCGGGUAAAACCUAUAGAAAUAUGUUUCUACAUACAUUUUUCGAUGAAACCAUAAAAAAUAUAUUGUAAGUGAUUCAUUGCGAUAUGUGGAACCGCACAUAAAACAAUCUCUCGGCAAUUCCAAACGAAAUCUUAGAUAGUUCAAGAUUUUGAUUCUUAGUGCAUUUUAGUAAUUAAAAUAAACAUGUCCUUUCCUUCAAAAAAGAAUAGAAAUCAUGGUACCGACUAGGAAAAAGAGGAAAAUAAAGAUAAAAAUCCUGAUAAAGUUUAGGGCAGCAAUUUGAGCUAAACACAACAUGGUUGAGUUCUAAUAGUGUAUAUUGGUAUUUAUUUCACAAUUAGUGAGUUACAAGUUUAUUUUGGCCCAUGGGCCUCCUAGGUGGCCAAAUAUCUGAUAAGUCUUAUCUGGGAGCUUGUGCAUCACUUAUUUACUAUAUAUGAAUUUUAUCGCACAUUGAAAACUCAUAACAUAUAGUUAUAGUUUAUAUACUUAACCAUCUCUAAGUCACUUUUUUAGGAUAUAAUGAGAAGGGUGCAAAUCACUAAACACAUGCACGUGCGUGCUGCAUGAGAAUGAGCCAAGUCGACUAGGCAGGUGGCGUGAGCGAGAGACUGGCUACUCAGUUUGGUUCACCUUCACUUAAUUUUAUCUUUUGCCUUUCGGGGUUUAUCAUUUUAAACUAAACUUUACCCUUACCUGAGUAUGACCUUAUUUGGGUAUGGUCCAACGGCUAACUUGAGUGUGGUCAAAGCUUCUCCAUAUAUAGGAGUUAAAGGUUCUUCACUGAGCUUAACUUUUACCCUUCUUAUUGUUUCUCUUCUUACUGGAUCUCUGAAAUCCUAAUUGGUUCACACUAUGCUUCUUUGGAAAUGCGCUGAUGAAAUAGUACGUGGUCAUUCUAUCGCUAAAGGUGAUUGUCAAAGUCUUGCAUGAGAGAGAGAGAGAGAGAGAGAGAGAGAGAGAGAGAGAGAAAGAGAGAGAGAGAGAGAAAGAGAGAGGAAACAAAAACAAAGGAGUUUUUGUCCAAAAUAGAAAAGCUAUAACAAGCUAACAGCAGUAAAAACAAAAGGGGUGACAAGCCAUGGAGAGAGAAGAGAUUGACCCUGCAUUUCUCUUCCAUCAUUCAAAUAAGCUUACUUAGAUUCUACUUGUCUCCCNCGCGCGACGAAUACAAAUUAUUACAAAAUACUACUUCUAGACAACUUAAGGGUUUAGAGAAAUAACGUUUGUUUCACAAACAUACUGUGCUUCUUGCGAAUAAGCUUAAUCAAAUUACAAACGCACCAUAAUUAAAUUAUUUUUUUUUAAUUGUGACUGUUUAAUCCCGCUGCUGGUAUACUUCCAUGAAAUCAGAAUAAUCACCACAAGGAAAAAAGAAGCUAAUUAAUAUAAAAUUGUGAACUGUGGAUUAAUUGAUGGUUUUCUUUAAAUUAGAAUGUAUUAAUUUAUUUGAAUGUGUUAAUUUGUAGAAUCGUACCUUAUUUGGAAUAUGCCGCCAAAUUGCCAAAAUUUAACAAAGGAAUUGAAAGUACAAAUUGGUUUGCAAAUUUAUGAAAGAGAGAUGGUUUUUUGGAAAAGAAAAUUAAACCUUAAUAAUGUGAUAAGUCAACAAAUGUUGGUGUUAUACAUACAUUAAAGUUGUUAAUUAUAUAUUGCUUGCUGGAAAUUAAUCAUAUCGCCUACGGUAGUUAGCAAUUAAUUUAGUCAAAGCAUCUACUCCUAUCUUGCCUAAUUGAUUACUUAGCCUAAUUAAAUUGCAUUGCUAGUCCCUAGACUUUUUGUCGAGUUUUAUUUUUCUCCUAAAAUUUUAAGUUCGACGUCCGAUAUUCAAUCCCAGCUACUACUACAAAUGCUUCACUUUAUUUCUUAUGUUAGAGAAAAAAUUAUUAUCCUCCCCUAAUUCAUCAAUAAAUAUAAAUUAGCAACCAAGGAUCAAUCGAUGUGAGUAAUUUCCUUUAAUUUCAAGAGGUAUUUAGUUAAUUAAUUUGUUGAUUUUUAGAAUGAAAAGUUCCUUUGGAAUAUGCCAACAAUUAAUUAAGUUUUUGAAAAAUUACAAAGGAAUCGAGAGUACAAUUGCAAAUUUUAAAAAGAGAGAUGACUUUAAAACUAAAAAAUGAAGACCUUAAUUAAUUGGAAGGUCGCUGAACUUUGGAUAAACAAAGUGAUAAGUUAACAAAAUAUUGGUGUUUUUAUUUUGUGAUUAAUAAUGUAUUGCUUAGUGUCAAUUAAUGAUUAUGUCGCGCUACGGUAGUUGGCAAUUGAUCUAAUUAAUCAAAGUAUCAAAUCCAAUCAUGCUUAAUUACUUGCUUGACAGUAAUAUGAAUAUUGUUUAAUGAGUUAGCUAGUAACUGACCAUGUAUAUUCUAAGUUCUAUAAAUUGCAAUUAUUUUAUCAAAUAAGGCCGUAUCACGUUGUGGUUUUUUUUUUUUUUUUGAGAGAUAGGUAGCACACUACCGCUUCGUUUAUUUUAUUUAAAAAUAAACUUAGUUGGAAAUAUGAAUCAACUAGGAUUCGAACUUUAGUCUCGGGUACCAACCACCAAAUCAUUUACCACUUGCUCUAGGGACGAUCUGUACCACGUUGUGGUUAUUAACAUUUUAAAUAAGUUACUAUAUACACUAUAUAUGUAUGAAUUAUAAAUAAGGCUCAUGAGUUGGAAGUACCAAAAAAUUAACCUUGCUAUUUAAAUUAUUAGGGUAAAAUCAGAUCAUUUAAGAUAAGUAGUUGGUUGCUAACAUCCGUUCCCUUACAGACCUUUGGGCCUCGCACUGCUUGCGUUAGUAAUCAUAUUAGUUGGUUAUUAUUAUAUGUGUGUACUUUGUACGACACUGGUUGUGUCACGCAACCCACAGGUUAAUUGUAUCUGAGCUGCAUACUUUUUUUCUUUUUUUUUUUUUUCCUCCGAGGCCUAGUUGUCUCAACCUUAUUGCUAAAUUCAAUCUUUUAAUGAAUGAAGCGGUAGCAUGCUACCUUUCUCUCUCAAAAAAAAAAAAAAAAAAUUCAGACUAAAAAAUUUAGAUUGAAUUCGGUUAUAUUUUGAGUUAGAUCAGAUCAAUCAAUUGGGUCGAAUUAGAGUUCACCAUCAAUGGGAUUGAAGUAUCCCUGAAGCAGCAAAUUAAGAUAAUUCAUUUGACUUUCGAAGCUCCUUUAACAAACGCCAACACAAAUAUAUAUUGUACCAAUCAAUUAAUUCAAGGCAUGUGCAAGGAUUAGAUCAAGGAUAAGAUUAAGAACAUAUAAAUCAAAGCAAAAAAGUCAUCACCAAAUAAAUAAAUAAUUAGUAAGCAUUAAUUAAUUCCAUGUGCACUUAUUUUAACUCUAAACUUCACGUAUAAUUAAUUGAUUGGUACAAUGCAUAUAUAUAUAUAUAUAUAUAUAUAUAUAUAUAUAUAUAUGCACUCCUCCAAACAAACGACUGCAAAGAGAAGAGAAGAGAAAGAGAGAGAGACAUAUUUAUCACAAUGUCUUUUGUUUCGUACUCUUUAGCUCUACUUCUCGUCUCCGCCGCGGCGAUGCUCGCAACCGGGGUAGCGCAGAACUCGCCCCAGGACUUCCUGAAUCCGCACAACGCCGCCCGCGCCAGCGUCCGCGUCGGCCCCUUGCGCUGGGACAACAACCUGGCCGCAUACGCGCAAAACUAUGCCAAUCAUAGGAGCGGCGACUGCGCACUCAUCCACUCGGGCGGACCCUACGGCGAGAACAUCUUCUGGGGCAGCUCGGGGAGAAAAUGGUCGGCCGCCGACGCGGUGGCUUCGUGGGUGGCGGAGAAGCAAUUCUACGACUACCGCAGCAACACGUGCGCGUCCCGGAAAGUUUGCGGUCACUACACGCAGGUGGUGUGGGCUAAGUCGGUGAGCGUCGGCUGCGCCACCGUCACGUGCAACAACGGCGGUACGUUCAUCAUAUGCAGCUACAAUCCGCCGGGCAACGUCCAGGGACAACGGCCCUAUGACGAUUUAGAGAUUGCUUCAGAGAUUGCAUAAAACAUUACGAGUUCUGCUCUAGCAAAGAGCGCACUAAUAAAUUAAACUAUCAAGUUACUCAAUAUUCACCAUAGUUUCCUAGUUUAGUUUAUUAUAGUGCUCUUCGCAUGAGUUAAACUCAGUUACGGCAAUUAUCGCAGCAUCUUAAUUAUGUGUAAUAAAAGUGAGUUUGCACAAAGGACCAGUGAUUUGGAUGCAAGACUCAUUAAGUUGCUGUGAUAGAAAUAAGCUUUGGAGUCCAAAGCGUGCAUGUUUUCGUUGUCUUAGUCGUUUAGUUGUUGUCGUACUAAUUAAUAUUUCUUUCCCAAAUUAACUAUAAUGUUGUUAGCUACUCGAUCGGAGCUUACUUUCCCGAAUAUACUGGUGGAUUGGAUCUCAACAUGCAUGGUGGUCGGAGAUUGAGCUACGACUACUCGAAGCUUACUUUACAUUUACUAAGUUAGUUAUUACUAACACCGUGUUAGAGCAGUAAAUUCAAAGUUUGAAUCCAAUUAGGCUCCAAGUAAUUUAAUUUUUUUGUUAAUUCAAGUUCUUAUUGUAGUGUUAGCGAAAAAAGUCUCGAUUUGAGACAUGAGAGAGAGAUGAAUACGAAUUAUUACAAAAUAGGGGUUUGAGAAAUAACGUUUGUUUCACAAACUUAUUGGGCAUCUUCCGAAAAAGCUUAAUCAAAUUCCAAACGCACAAUAAUUAAAUUAUUUUUUAUUGUGACUGUUUAAUCGAUCCCGCUGCUGCUGCUGGUAAACUUCAAUGAAGUCAGAAUAAUCACCACAAUGAAAAAAGAAGCUAAUUAAGUAAUAUAAAAUUGUGGACUCUGGAUUAAUUGACGAUUUUCUGUAAAUUAGAAUGUAUUAAUUAAUUUGUUUGAAUGUGUUAAUUUGUCGAAUCGUACCUUAUUUGGAAUAUGCCACCAAUUUGCCAAAAUUUAACAAAGGAAUUGAAAGUACAAAGGAUUGCAAAUUUAUGAAAGAGAGAUGACCUGAAAUUUUUGGAAAAUAAAAUUAAACUUUAAUAAUGUGAUAAGUCCACAAUGUCGGUGUUAUAAUAUAUAUAUAUAUAUAUAGAGUCCGGCUACUAUACUUUUAUGAGUAUAGAGCCUCUUGUACUUAUAAAUUUUUGCCCGUUAGAUUUACCCUUUAAUCAUUUUCACCCGUUAGAUCAUACUAUUCAACUAACAACCCACUCAACCCUAGGGGGCCCACUAUUAACCUAACCGUAAUCACUUUCAUCAUAACCGUAUAUUUUUUUAUCUGAACGGUUGAAAACUUAUGAGUACAAAGGAUUGUAUACUCAUAUAAGUAUAGUAGCCCCAACCUAUAUAUUAAAGUUGUUAAUUAUAUAUUACAAGGUGGAAAUUAAUUAAUCAUUUCGCCUACGGUAGUUAGCAAUUAUUUUAGUCAAAGCAUCUAUUCCUAUCGGCAUCUAUUCCUAUCGUGCGCAAUAGAUUAAAUUGCAUUGCUAGUCCCUGGACUUUUUGGUCGAGUUUUACUUUUUCUCCUCAAAAUUUUAAGUUCGACAUCCGAUAUUCAAUCCCAGCUGCUGCUACUACUACAAAUGCUUCACUUUAUUUCUUAUGUUAGAGAAAAAAAAUAUUAUCCUCACCUAAUUCAUCAAUAAUUUAAAAUGUUGCAUAGCAACGAGGAGUAGAUUUGGAAAUAUGAGAUAAAAUAUUUUUUUCUUUUGUUUGUUCAUUAAGUUAGGAGUGACAAAAGAAAGGUUGCAAAAUGAAAUUACUUUAUAAGUAAAAGAUACCAUGUCAAGUUGUGGACAUUUUACAUUACAUAUAUAUGGAACAUAAAUAGGCUCUACAUUGUACUUAGAGAUAUGAAAAAAAUUUUGGCACUCAAUUUGAAAAAUAGAUUCCUCAGGCCUAUAUAUAGGUUAAUUAUUUUUGUUCAACUCCUAGGAGCAUAUAUAAGUUAGUCUUUAAUUUUAGGUCACCCCGUAAUAUCAAAAUCUUCAAAAUUUUCAUAUAAGGUCUAAUAUUGUGGUUAGUUCAUUCAAUUCCAUUUGCACCAUGAAAAUACAACAAAACUUAGUUUCAACACUAACAUCACUUCUUCAUACAGCAAAUUAAGGUUCACAACUACUAAUUUGAACUCAAUGACACCACUUUUCAUACAACAAAGGAUCUCUAUCAUAUUUGUAAUUCGAAGCAAACAGAUAACCAUCAGUAACCCAAAGACACCAACAACAGAUUAUUACUCGAAAAAUAUCUUCAAUCAACAACACUACAAUGGAAACAACAAAGGCCCAAUGACAUUAGAAAGAGGAUUGACAUGCAGAACCACGAGCUACACAGAUUCAAUAGACCUACGUGCGCAUCGCCGCACUCUCCUGUGAGAAAACAAAUAAGCGCGAAGAAAAAUUAUUGUUAACUUAAUCUCUAUCUCUUAUUAUUAGUUUGUUUAUGGUAAUAAAAUGUAUAGUUGAAAAUUGAUGUGCAUACUUGUUAUAAGCCUGAAGAUCAUGCUGGAACAAGUGAGCAGCCUCGGGGUUUGCAGGACUCGCAGGAUUUGGGUCAGUGAGAAGUGACUACACCAACAAAAAAAAAAAUUUAAAAAAUUAUUCAGAGCUUCGGUACUUAAUAACAUUUAGCACGUUACAAUAUUUUAGCAACUGAUAGCGAAGAGACGAACCUGGAUUGAUGUUAAUAUUGUACAAACAUUGUGGCAAGGCGACCAUGCAUCCUGAAUGAUAUCCAUGCAAAGUGUGCCAUCAGUGUAAACUGCAAAAGUUUCAGAUUGGCUUCUCAGUAAAACUUUUAAGAUGGUAGAAAUUUUAGGUCACUCAUCAUGAAAUUCCUUAUGUUGAUAAAUUCAGUUCUUUGAUCGCAGAAACAGGAUAGCACAAUAAUAUAAUGCUACUGUACAGUAAAUAAAGGUUAAGAAUGUAGUAGUAUUAGUAGGUCCUAAAAGAGAGAAUACUCAAAAAGGAAAAGAAAAUAACAACACAACUAAUGGAGACACCAACUUGGUCGUGAAGGUUUGAGGCUAUUGAAUUCCAAAAGGAAAAUUUUGUUCGAACUUAUAAAGGUAUGAAGUCCUCAAUUAAGUAUGGGGCUUUAGAUGUCUCAUAAUAUGGAAAAUAUACCCAAACAACCCGAAUAAGAAGUCUCUGCCAAGUGCCAACAAAGGUAGUAAAAACUAGCCAACAUAAAUUCGGAAUAAAAAAGUGCAACAGAUCCAACUCUGUACCUUUCAUCAACUAUGUAAAGAUUGCAAAAUAAGAUGGAAAGCGUAGUUACAAGGUUUGAAGCCCGUCAAGAAAUUUUUUUCUUUUCCCAGAAAACUGUAAAUUAA